UUUAAGGGGCUGUUUUGUAGGGGCUUUGGCAAAGAACAUAGGGUACGCAGUUGCUUUGUGGCCCAACGCGCAUCUAAGGAAAUUACGAGCAUGGUACUAGGCUCACAAAAUACAAUCCCCCACCGCCCCGGGCGCCGAUAGUCGGCCGUCGCAAACGUGAAACGCACAAGCCUAAAUAUCCCCGGUAGGACCCUCACCUCGCAGCUUCCAGGCGACCUACAAUCCUCGCGGUAAGACCGGUUCGACAUAUACUUAGGCUAUCACAUCAUCGGCUGUUUUCCCCGUGCUGCACAUCGGUUGGUAUCAAACUCCUUGCACGGAUGCCGACGCCCAUUUUUGCCCUCCCCGUUCCUACCUACGGUAGCCGCGCAUUUAAUGCGCCCCGCGACCGGUGCACCACCCAGCCGCUGCAGGCCUUACUGCUGCUUGGUAGUUCCUAAACCGUUACGAGAAGAUCAAGGCAGGCAAAUCAUAAUUAAACUCCCAGCGCCAUACACCCACCAAGCAUCCGCAUUCAACCAAAGGACCUUCCGGAUCAAGACCAGUGCGACUUACGUGAAAGGACAAACCUGAACGCAAAUUAUACCUAGCAGGCACUCACGACAGGCCACACUGCACGUACACACAUAAUGAAAAGCAGCAGCACCCGCAUCAUCUACCGCCUUGGAUAUUAUGGCAAUUGGCGAUGCACAAACAUUCCCCACUCCGCAUAUCCUGUCACCUCUAAAUCCAAGGAGGGGACAGGAACACGGCCCACCGGUGAAGGCAGACAGGCCCCAAAGUAGUUACAGAAAAAUUCAAGUCGCUCACGGCAGACAAACCGUACUGUUUCAAAUCCGUCCGGCCGACUGGCCGCCACGGUCAAAAUCAACCUGCCCUCAUCCCUUCCUAUCACCAACGCUAUCGACACACCCAGCCUCUCGGCUACAUGGGCAUCUCCAACGGACGACUCCCUACGGACAGUCUGGCCUCGGCAACCAGCUUAUCCACCAGCGCGUUGUAGCGCUGACCAGUUUUCUGUGAGACCCACACCCUGGAGCGUUUGAUCAUCCUUGCGAUUAGGCAGCCGGAAGGAACGUCCGCCGCUCCUCGUAUCGCCAGUCAACAAGGCCAACUUCGCUGCGGAUCACUCUGCAGAAGCUUCGGCGCGGUGGUGGCGAAAAGCCAUACACGCAGUCCAGUUACUCUAGCAGCUGCGCAGUUAGCAGUUGCGCACCGAUUCAACAAUAGCGUUGGCCAGGUACUCCACCUUGGCAGAGUUGAGACCGGCCAGGGAGAUGCGGCCAUCCCGGGUCAUGAACACAGAGUGCUUGUUGGUCAUGUUGUCCACCUGGCGGGUGUUAGGAGGGGGCCCAGGGGGCCCAGACAGAGAUGACCAGAGAUGGUAAGGGUCCCGUGUCAAGGUCGGUCGUGUAAGAGUUGCGCAGGGACUGCGUUCAGACUGGAAUCCAGAAAAGCACGGAAAAACGUUUCGGGAGGUUUCUUAAAUGGGUAAUCGCAAGCUUAGGUAAGGUAAAUCAGCACGGAAGGGGGCCUUGCAGAUUUGGUACAAGGCCCCAACAUGCAUGGACGCUGGGUGCGUAUGACGUACUUUCCUUCAGGGCCGCAAAGACGGCGUUGAGAUCGCCCAAUCCCUGACCCCUCCACCCGCCGUACCUGGAGACCCACUAUCCGGUCGCGGACCCUACCACCAUGGGGGACCCGGCAGCCCCCUCCGUGAAGCAUCCUAACCCCCUUCCAACCCCGACCUACCUGUGCAGGCGUGAGACCGGUGAAGGUGAACAUUCCAAUCUGCUUGGUGAUGAAGGACCAGUCCUUGUCGGGGUAUUUGGCCUCCAGAGCCCGCUGGAGCUCUCCACGCACCCGCUCAAUGCGGCCAGCCAUACCGCGCAUCUCACCCUUCCACUCCUACGGUGGAGGACCGGGCAUCGGGGAGGAGGUAAAGUAACCAAGGACCUAAGACGGGUGGAAGGAAUUAGGAAGAAGCACCAACUGCAGACGCCAGGGAAAUGCACGAAGGAAAGCGACGUGUAAACGCAAUCUUAACGGACGUCAAAACAGCCUGUCUCUUUGCAGCCAAGGAAAUGAGCCGCCGAUGACAGGCGGACCUGCCUCUCCAGCAUCAUAAAUCCACAUUCCCAGCUCACCACCCAACUCUGUGGCAACCAGUUAAUACUUCUCCCGUACCACCCCCGCACCUCGAACAGCUCCUUGUCAUUGACCACCUCAGCAGCAAUUCGAGCUCCGUGGGUUGGCGGGUUCGAGUACAGGGCACGGGCCAGGCGCUUCAGCUGGCUCAGACACCGAGUGGCAGGCUGAGGGCGCAGCAAAAGAGCCAGGAGCAUCCGUUAAGUCAGAAGUCAGCAGAGGACGAAAAAGAGGCAAAAAUCCACGCGAGAAGCGGAUACGUAGACUAUACAUGCUCCAAGUCAGGCAAGGCCAACAAAUGAAUUCCCAAGGAUGAUUUAAUACUUUGGGAAAACGGAAGCUUUGUGUAUUUAGGGAUGAAUGGAUUGGAGACACGACAAGGUACCUGAUCCAGUCAAUUAACUAUGACUGCGGCAAGUGCGUACACCCAGGCCGAAACAGGCAAACGCGUGCACAACCACCCCCACCUCCGCGAUGUCACCGAGACGCCGUACGCCCACCCCGCAAACUAACCUCCUUGUCCUUGAGCACCAUGACCAGAGCACCCACACGCUCGCCGUACAGUCCCAGGUUCUUCGAGUAGCUCUGGGAAACCAUGAUCUCCAGACCCCGGUCCACAAAGAGGCGGGGGGCAAAGGCGUCCUUGUCCAGGUCACCAGUGGCGAAGCCCUGGACAGAGGGCCCGAGAUACCGAGGUCCAGAGGAACAGGCAGGGACAGGUGAGCCAUAUUUUCAUGCUGGAUAUGGAGACAAAAUGGAUGACAUAAUAACAUCGAAACAGUUGCAUAUGCUUGAUAGGGCCCAGAUGAAUUGUGGAACAAGGAGGGGUCUUGUCCAUCCCCCCACCAAACCAAAAACGGAAUCGCAUCCAGCCAGACAAACCACCCUUUUAAAGCACCCAAAACCUUCCAAACAAAGCCCUAAGUUAGUUGACCUUGACACUACGCUGAUAAAGGCCCCAGCCCCUUUCCGGCAACCUUCGCAGCAGGAAAGGCUCCAAAGCGUUUCAGCCUUCUACCUCGGCCACGACUAUUCCCUUGCCAAUUAAACCCGCAUCCUUCAACAGCUCCGUUAUACAACACAUACCCUCUCGACUCGACACUACACAUAACAUAUCGAUAUGUACGCGCACGCACCUGAUAGGCCACAUCGAAGAAGGGCAACAGGUUGCGCUCCUUGCACAAGUCCGCAAUGGCGGUCCACUGCUCGGGGGUCGGAUCGACGCCCGUGGGGUUGUGUGCGCAGCCUACCGGGGUAUGGGGUAAGACGAACCACUGACGAUUGAAACAAACACCAGAGAUAAGACGGAUACUCCAGGAUUAGGCAGAUACAACAGGAAGAAUUUAGGGAAGUUACCGACCAGUUGUGACUUGGGUUAUGGGGGUAAAACGAACCACUGACGAUUGGGGGGUGGCGGAUCAGGGCGUGCGGAGGCCAGAAUAAAGCAAGCAAUCCGGACAUGUGGCCGAGGAACAGACGGCACGGGUUCGAGGGACUGUAAGGGCAUAUGUGAUUCGACGGCUAGCGAGAUCUCCUCAUACAAACAUGGCAACGUGCGACAUCGGGUCCGCAUCUGCCCUUCAAUGUGGUGUGCACCUACAUGUGGCGCGGGCCUUGUCCUUGAUUCAUUCAGCAAGAAGAGCUCCUGACAGGAAGGCUUGUUCCUCCUCUUUACAAUCCUACUGUUUUUCGAAAUUCCGCCAUGGUCUUCAUCACUAGCCACCCAAUUGCUCGGGCCUCCCGCUACAUAUUCCUACCCAACACCCCAUCCACCGCCACACCUUAUCUGUCAUUUAUCCGCCCCUACUACCACCACCCGUCGUAUUCCACCCACCCACCCACCAUGCAGCACCACCACGGAGCCAGAGGGAGCCGCCUUCAGGUCCUCCAUAAGGCCCUUGAAGUCCAGACCAACAGUGUCGGCAUCAAAAUACCUGUACAGGCAAGCCGGGGAAUAUACAAAAUAAUAUAUCGAGGUAAUGGUGUCUAAAACCAUCGACAACCUGAUCAGGUAAGCAAGAAUACAAUUUCAUUACAUGCCGAUGGGAGGUUACUAAAAAAACACUAUCAAAGGCCGAUAUGCACAUGCCAACAAGCCAAGACGCCAUGGACGGAUGUGACAGGAUGUGCAGUAAGCUCCAUGUUAAAAAAUCCACAACAAGCGUCCAUGGCAAAAAUGCGUGUAUGAUACUGUGUGCGUGUACGAUGUAUGUGUGUAGUUCACACAUCCUGAACCAUGCACGUAUCUGCAUGUGUCGCAUCUGCGUGUGCCUUCCCCCACAUUGUCCUCUCUGUUUGUGUUAUACAUGUCUGCCCCCGUGUCAUUCGUCUGUCUAUCGGUCCGUCUGUUUCCCCUGUCCUCUUUGGUACCCUACCACGAAGCGGGACAUAUGAUUACUUAAUUGCAUAAAUCCAGCAUUGGGGGGAGGUCACAACCGCAGUGCGCAGUGGGAGAGCGAGAACGGGAGUGAACGGGUCCAGGGGGAUAUGGACCGUUUUCUCCCCGUCCCCAUCCCCACCCCGCACACACGCGGACACUGUUUUCAGUUCCGCUUUGUGCGCACCUGUAGUACUCCCACUUGACACCCUCGUCACCAAAGAUGUUGCGGUGGUUGCCCCAGGUCGGGUUGGAGAUGUAGACAGUAGCGCCCUUGAGGAAGCGGGCGAUGAAGGCAGCACCCACACGCAGAGAGCCGGUGCCAGACAGAGACUGGAUCACCGCCACACGACCCUGGGAGAACGACGACGACAACAACAACCACAGCAAUACUAUUGAUGAAGGGAGGAGGGCAGAAGGACAGUAGGAAAGGAGGAGGCACAGUGUUGGUAUGGCCUGGCCAAACACGCCGGUCGUACCUUCCCCACCGCAGCCACAACCACCGUUCUUUUCCCUCAGGCCCACCUUCUCAUCUGUCCCAACCCACCCUCCCUCGUCGGUUUCACUUUCGCCCUAACCCCAGUACCACUGGCACCCUUCUAUACCCCUUAGCCUAGCCAUCCUCCCUUUCCCAUCGGUCCCAUCAUUGCUUUCCACUCCGCUGCCGCAGAGACCUUAAUCAGCCCCACCUCCUUAAUGGCCGGAUGACCAGCACCCAGCAGCAGGUCCACAGUGGCCUUACGGAAGGGCUCGAAACCCUCAAUGGACAGGUAUUCUUUGUUCUCAUUGCGGGAGAAAAUCUUAGCCUCGGCCUGUAGCCCGAAAGGCGGACAAGGAAACGAGCAGGAGAGGCAUGUAUGUGAAGGAUGCUGGCUACUGUUUCGCGCGGAAAAUGGAUGGUGUCGCGGACGGGCCCAGGAUCUCACGUUUGCGGCGGCACAGGGAAAGGUGAAGGCGAUGUACGCAGGAGGGCUUACGUGAGCUGAAAAUCCUUUGGGAGUCAGCUGGGGAGAACCCUGACCUACAGGCUUGAUAAGAGGAUAUCGGCAGCAUUUUCAGCGUCGUGUGUGCUGCGUGUGUCCCGGGAUUCGCCAUGUGAGCUGCGGGAGUUUUGCACUACCAAAAACGAACUGCUAAAGGCGGUUCGCGUUUAGCGUGCCGCCCACCUUCUUCACCACGCUCAGCACGACAGGCUUCAAAUCCUCAUCCCGGUACGCGCCCACGCCGAGAUUAAGCUUGCUAGGGCUGGUGCUUGCGCGGAAGGCCUCCGAGACGCCCAAGAUCGGGUCCGGAGGAGCCUGAGCCACAUCAGCAAAGCGGCUCAUGCACCUGACCUGCAGGGCAAGACGGCUGCGAGAGGCACCCACCUGCGGCAGCGGAUUUGCGUACCAACAUAUGUCAAGUAUGCCGCCGAUCACGUGCCCCCGAAUCAAUCAAGACUAGGUUGGACCCCAGUCGAGUAGAUCAAGCCUGAAUAAUUGAUCAACAACACCUAAGGACCUAUUAGGAUACCGGGACCAACUUACAUCGCAAAUGUGAGCGCCGACGCGGCGCGAAAUGACCUGCUGCAUUUUGGUAAAGGCAAACAGCAUGACCCGACCAGAGUAGUAAUUACUACAGAGACGCGAAGCGCAUGUGUGACAAACGGCACAUCCAAAAUAGCGAUCCGAGUUCCUAUGAAAGUCACGACAUAGGAACCAAAUCCAAAUCCGUCGGAAAAACUUCCGAACACCUGCAAUCGGAGCAAAACAUCCACGUUCAUCCUUUAUAUAAUUAGUGCUAUUCUGAUAGUCUAUCACGUAUGAGCGAUGACGUUGCUGUCUUGGAACGAAGCAGUUGCACUUUGCAGGCAAAGCGUUGAAGCGCCCUGUACAGAAGAACAUGCGGGAAGAGCAAUAGGUACUGGUAGUAAAACUCAUCAACGACCCUGUUUGCCUGCAGUCGUCUUGCCUUCCCAAGCCGCACGUCGACUACUGCGGCACCUGCUCAGCACGCAGCACGGCAUAACCCAUCACCACAGCGGGCCAUCACUUUUACAGCCAGCGGGGUCCUGCGAGUUCCCCCCCCAUGAAGCACAGCCAGAUGCAAGCCAGGGCGUCCGUCACGCAGUGCUGGACGCAACGGCAGCGACCGCGAGGCCGCGCUACGUAAACCCCGGCCCUCCAGGCAGGCCCCCAAACCCUUUGCAGCCAUCGGCCAAUGGUGCGCCAGAAGCAUAUCCGGUUGCGCAGUCAACUGCAAGGGGCUCCCCACAUUUCCGCGUGCCGCCGCGGAAAGCUGAAGGCUACGCCGGGGACGGUACCGCAGGAACUGCAUCCCCGGCGGCCCCAACCCCGCCAGAUCCCGCACACCCACCCGCAUCCAUGCAGCCCGUCGCGUUGCCGCCGCUGCCAACGCAGACGGCACGGCUCGGUACGAACCCCCCAGCUGCAUCCCCGAGCGUGUCGCCAUCCACACUCAUACCUACCGUUGCCGCCGCCGCUGCAGCCGCGAUUAUGAGGCCUCCUCCUCCUCCGCCUCCUCCCUCAGAGGCGCCGGGUAGAGUCCCACCGCCAGCGUCCGCACCCAGGCCCCGGCCAAAAAACGAGUUGCGGCACCUGCAACAGCUGAACCAUCGAGCCCGCAAACGGCGGCAGCAGCAGGAGGAUCACGGUGGCGGGCAGGACGGGGCCGGGCAACGGAGGCCCGCAGCAAAACGGCGCAAGGCCGCGGCAGGCGCCGGUGCCGGUGGUGCAGCCAGCAGGCCUCCGACGAAGAGCCCGGCAGAGGAGGAGGAAGAGGAGGAGGAGGACGGGGAGGAGGAAGACGGGGAUGCCGGGCGAGCUGCUGAGGUGCUGGUUGGUGAUGACGGGGUUCAGGGCGUUGGUAUAGGAGGUGGAGAGAGGGAGGACGGCGCAGGCGCAGCUGGCGCCGGCAGUGGUGGCGGCGGCAGUGGCGGCGGUGGCUUAUCCACGGGCAGGGCGGAUCACGCUGGUGCCGCCGAAAUCACUCCACCCAUCCGCGACUCCUCAGCCUUGCGCCCUUCUCGCAUGCGGCAGCAGCUAAAACAAGUGCAGCAUCAACGGCAUCAGGAGCAUCAGGAGCAGGAGCGGAUGCAACAACGGCCGCAGGAGCAGGUGCAACAGCAGCAUGAAGAGCGGCAGCAGCAGCAACAGCAGCAGGUGGAGGAGGAGGCCGUCGAGGAGGAGCGGCAGCUAGUGCCUAUCAUCCAAGUACGACGCAACAGAAAUCUAUCCGGGCUGGCGUCAGUUGGCGUAGCUUCGCUCGUACAGCUGGCCGUGAAGCGACCGAAAGGCCAUGGUUCCGGCGGCGCAGCCAAGCCGGGUUCAGCGGCGGUGGCGGCGGCGGCGGCGCUGGACAGCGAAGCGCAGGCGAAGGGGAUUGAAGAGGAAGAGGAGCAGGAGGGCGCAGCACGGGUGCUAGCUCCGUGGCUUGGGAGCGGCUUUUUGGGACAUGGCGCACUGCCGGCCAGCCAGCCGCGCCCGUCCGAGGAUGUCUGGGCAGCUGACGUGAUGGCCGGUCUUAGCGCCCCCGACGACGUGCGGGGCGCAGCUAGUCGUACUGUUGCGGUGGCUAGCGGCGCCAUCGGCCCUGAGGUGGCGGCGGCGGUAGCAUCGGUUCCGGCAGGAUCUGCACGGCCUCGCGGCCCGUUGCCGGCGGCAGCCACCGUAGCGGCCGUCAGAGCCGCUGCGGCGGCGGCGGCGCCGCCACCGUUGCCGUCCGGUGCGGCGGGGAUGCAAGCGCCGGCUGCGGUUGCGGUCACAACCGGUGGAGGUACGUACGGCGGCACGGGUGCUGGCGCGGACUGGUUGACCUGGGCAGCUGAGGAAGACGAAGGAGGGCCCUGUGGUCGUACAGAUCCGGCUGUGGACCUUGCAACCGGCGCCGUACACAAUCAUAUUCCCCACGUUGCGUCGUCAGAUGCGGCAGCGGUAGCCACAGCGCCCGUGGCAUCGCGCGCCUUGAGAGGGUCGGAGGGAACCGAUGGAGGCGCGGCACCGCCACAGUCACAGGAACUGGCUCUUGCGGCGGCUUCAGCGCCGACGUCGGCGUCGCACCUGGACUCUGCUGUCGCACCUGGCGGCGGCGGCGGAGGCGACGACGUCAAAUUGGUUUCGUCGACGUCGACAUUCGCAGUUGCGGGUGGGGUUAACGAAACCAAGGCUCAGUUCGGGGCGUCCGCCGUCCCGUCCUCCGUACGGGGCAGUUCAUGGUUGCAUCAGCAGCUGGGGGAUCCCGUCUCAGUGCCGCUGAAAGGUCAGCAGCCGACACAGCUCAAGAAGGAACAGGAACAGCAGCAGCAGAUGCAACUGCAGUGGCGGCAGCAGGUUGGGGAUGAGGAGAUGGCCUGGGCAACGGGGCUGCCGCCGCCGCGUCCGGCGGAAGGAAUUCAUCUUGAGGAAAGCAUUGCGGAAGAAAUGAAGGAGGAGGAGAUGCAAAGUAAAGGGUUGUACAGCCAGGACGACGAUGAUGAUGAUGAUGAUGAUGAUGAUGAUGAUGAUAAUGACGAUGGUGACGAUGAGGAGGAGGGGUACUACGCAACCAUAGCUCAAUGGGCGCCGUCGCUGGCGUAUCAUCCAGCGGACGUUGGCGGCGGCAUGGACCGCGACGCGGAGGAGGUGGGCCGCGGAGGGCGAAGUCGCGGCCCCGGCAGAUCUGGGCGUCAGCCCCGCGGCCGAGACCGCGGCGCGCAGGGCGACGGCGUGCAGGGGAAACAACAGCAACAGAAGCAGCAGCAGCAGCAGAAGAAGAAGGAUCGCAAGCAGCAGCAGCAGCAGCAAACGCAGCGGCUGUCAGGCCGUAAGGUAGGCCGACGGGUUGUCGUGCGUGACGUUUGCGAUGGCUGGAUUGCGGAGAUACCGUACUUGUGGGUGCCGCGUCUUUGCACGCGCCAUAUAAAAUAACGCGGCACGUCUGAUGCUGUGUCCCCCAAAACGUAAACUUGAUGAUAACAAGAUGCAUAUUAGCCGUUUCUUACAAGCCUCUUUACCGGGACUUACGAACUUACAAACUUCCAUCCGCAGCGAGGUGCUGCUGGACAGAUAUCUGCCGCCGUCACCGGCGGCACUGCGGGCGCCGCCAUGGCGCCGGGGACGGCGGCGGUUACGGCCGCAGCAACGGCCGGGGGUACGGAAGUGGGCCUCUAUGCCGACGUUAAGGCCUUCCAGCGGCAGCAGCGCAAGGCCCGCUUCCUUAAUGGCGGCGCCGGACCGGAAUCCACCAGGCCUGUGCCGGAAAUUCGCGGCCCGACGGAGUGCAAGUGAGUUUGGAUGACCAACAGGAACAAGACAGAGCUAUUGCGUCGACAUAAACACGGGUCCUUGUGUGGGAUCUCGUAUGUUGAAGGAGGCGAAGUGGCUGCAAGAAAAGACGCCUGCGUUCCAAAUUAACAUGUGCCACUGCGCGGCUACCUUGCUUUCCCCGCGCCGCCGCAAUGUGCUCAACGGAACAUUCCCAACAACGCCGCCUCCUAACCAUGUGCGGUCGUGAGACCCCCCGGUGCCAAGUAUUCAUAACAACGUGUUCUCAUCUCCCAGCACACGGACGUGCCACCACGCUGCCAACCUCUGCUGUCUCUCUCUCUCUCUCUCUCUCUCUCUCUCUUUCUCUCUCUCUCUCUCCCCACGCCUCUCGCUUUCUAAGGGCUUUUCAUGCUCGUAUUCUGUUGAACGUCUGAGCUUGGUUAUUUUCUCCUCCACCCCCCUUAGCUCUUCUCUAGUAUCCAUCUAUCUCCUGGUAUCAGCAUCACUCGUAUGCGGUUCGUCUCCCCUAUACCCUUUCCUCUGCAGGUUCUGGCGGCUGGGCCGCUGCGCCAAGGGCGCUGACUGCGCCUUUGCCCACGUGGGCCGCCCGGUGACCCGCCUGCUGCCCUGCCGCUUCUGGCGCCAGGGCCGCUGCCAGCGCGGCGAGGUGUGCAGCUUCAGCCACGACCCGCAGCUACCGGAACCUUGCGGCGGCUUGCUGGAAAACGGUGGGUUAAGGGGCGGGAAUGAUCUUCAGCUGGUGUAGGAAAGGAGGCGACUUUGCGGAUUGUGUGUCCUGGCAGAGGCUGGUGUUGGAUGAGGGUGUUGUUGUUAUGCCAGAUAUUAGAGCGAGGUUUGACUAGGUGUUUUAAAGAAAGAUCGACUAACUGUGACUGUGAGAGAUGCGGCGAUGCCACGAAAGAUGUUCAGAAGCUCGUUCCCAGACAUACAUACAGAGGACGGCAAGAGUUGUGUGUGUGGGAGGGGGGGCCGAAAAGCGAAAGCCAAGGUAUCGUUAAAUGUGCAUCAGUGCCUCUUCCGUGAAUGGAUGAGAUGUCUUACGGCUGCGAUAUGUGCUGCAUGGUUCCUUAGGCGCCUGCCCAGACCCGGAACACUGCCGUCUGGGCCACUACACACCCGAAGACAUGGACAACCUGCGGGAGUACUUCCGAGACGUGGCGGCUCGUGCCGCCACCGCUGCUGCAGCUGCCGCGGCGGCGCCAGGGGCGGCCGGCGGCGUCGCGAGCGGUGCACACGGGCACGGGGCGCCCAAGCUCGAGCCCUCCGAUUCGACGGCGGCGCAGCAGGGUUCCAUGGCGUUGCCCGUUGGAGCUCCCGCAGUACCGAUGGGCGGCUGGGGCCCGCAGCCGGCAGCGGGGCCGGCACCUGCCGCUGGCAUGCUCCCUGUCCCGUACCUGCGGCCUAUGCAGCCUGUGCUUCAACGCAUGGUGAAUGGCGGUGACGAAGACUUCUGAGGAGUCUGGUUUGCAACUUACCUUUCCCUCCGUGUCUACCUUUCCGUUGUUCCAGGCAUGCCAUCCCCCCUUCGCUGUUGUUGGCUGUUGUUAUUGUUAAGCAGUCAAGGAUACGUCAGGUUUUUCUGGGAGUCCUGUGUCUUGAUCGUUGCGUGAUGUUGCACGGAUUGCCCACGUGUUUGGUGCACAUCCAGCAUCGGUGUUCGGCUUGCGUCGCGUCGCGCGAAAUGUUUCAGCACCCUUGUGAUAUGGUCGCUAUAGCUGGAGCGGUGGGUGAGUGUGCCUACCUGGCCUUGUUUUCGUAUGCGUGCGCGUGGCUUACGUUCAGUUGAUAGGAAAAUGAGCCCGUUUAAGGACUUAAGGCCGGCCUGUGAUGGAGGCGGGCUCGGCCUGACUUGCAUGCGAAGGUGGGGUAGUUAUUGGUGAGCGUUUCUGUCAAUAGAUUGAGUUGAGCACAUUACAUGACUGGAGAGGAGAGUGCAUAAGAGGCUCUUACACCAGUAUGACCAUUCGAGUUGCUUGUUAGGCUGGUCGGAUCUUUGCACAUUAGUUUAAAAAGGUGCAAUACACAGGUGUGGUGUCCGCUCCCAUUAUUGCAUGCUUGGUAAAAGUGUGGAUUCUUAGCCCCGAAACAGCGAAACAGCUCUCGGCAAUAGCCUCGUGGCAAUAGCUACAUGUUGGCACAAAAGCCAUGUGUGCUUCGGAUCUUACACUACUGCUACAGUACGUACGUGUGGCGUAAUACAUCUUGAAGCCUUUAGGUGAUAACAUGUUAAGAUGCCACGCAGCCAGCGUGCGGCAGCACAUCAGUACGCUACCCAGCCAUUGCCCACUAAGAGCCAUUGCCCCAACCUCAUGAAAGCCCCGCUGUCCACGAAGCUCACGCGAUGCAGUUCAAGAUCAGUUUAAAGAUGUGGGCUCAAGAUAGAGCGCCACGAAAUUGUUCUUAUGAAAUAUUGAAAACGGGAAGGUCACCAGGAUGUCGUAUACGCAGGGUCAUGUUCGUGCAAUCGCAUACAUAUUGAUAACGGGUUAUGCAAAAGCAAGGAUGAUCGGCCACGCACGGUAUGGACGUAGAUGCAGCACUGACAGUGCGGGUCCAUGGGAGGAUAACAAGCCUCCUGCAAAGCGUGCAGAGACACGAUCACAUAUAUACAUAUAAUACUUAUACACGCACGCGCACAUAUACACACAUAUAUACUUAUAUAUACAUAUAUAUGUCCCUCCUUUCACCCUAUCGUCUUAACUACUCUGUGCGGGCCAAGGACCCCGCUUUAGCCCUCACUCAAGCCUCCAAAUCAUGCAUUUGUGACGGCAAAUGGUCAUUAUCCAUCACACCGUAAGCCGUAUCCAGCUCCAGGCUGUCGUCCCAGCUCCAGGCUGUCGUCCCGCUGUCUAAGUGUAGCACCGGCAGGCCAGGGCAGGCCCACGGCUGGCCCUGGUCCAGUUAUCAACUGUCCGUUCGGCACAAGGCCCUGUUGGCCAGCCAUUCCACGCAUAACGACGACUCCGGCCCCUAGCCAGCGCAAUGUUAAACCCAGUACCUGCAACUCUCGCUCGCACAUCACCGGCAUCGGCCUUGGUGCUGUGUUUCCAGCACCAAAGGCAUGCCGGGAAUGCCCCCAGCACCUGUCAUUUAAUCAGAUUCCCGACUCCGUCCCCGGCAUGCUUGCUGCAACAUGUGUUACUGCUCCACACCAGCGCAGCCUACAGCACGUAAAGAGACAAUUGACGCACAGUACUCUACAGUCAAACUGAGGUUUUGUAUAAUGCAUCCUUGGAGCUGAGCAGGACCUGCAGCACUGUGAGAUCCUGGCAGCGGCUCCUGUACGAAGCCAUGUCUACGGUCUGCAUCCAGGCUGCCGUCCAGGUAGGAAGCCACCAGCCCGCCGCGUCCUCGGCGCAGGCAGCGCGCUGAGGGCCCCGCAAGAAGUCGGUCAGCGUCUCGGUGUUGGCGUAGAUGGGCGCGCGAGAGGGCUCUGGCGCCGCCGACUCAGAUUCGGUAGAGGGCUUGGUGUCUAUUGCCGAGGUACUUGCGGCCUCGGUGCUUGGGGAAGUGACGUUGAUGGCCGCGGGGACGGAGUUAAGCGCCGGUGUGGAGGACACAGGCGAUGGCUUGGGCUUGUAGAUUGAGGCGUCCAGGUAGACAUUGUAUCUACGGCAGGAAAAGGGUGUUCGUGCGGCGAGCGGUGCUCUGACGGUGGCGAUAAGGUUAGCCAAGAUGCUGGACGUCCCAGAGAAGCACGAAAUUCCGGCCUCGUGGAAUCACGUAAAAUCUGACACAGGUUGGCAUACUGGAAUCUGACUCGGAUGGCGUUGAGGUCGUCUUAACGCUUCCCAAGUCAUGCCAUUCUACAAAAUACCCAGGCUGCUUGGCAUGCGGCGCUCGAUACGGGCCUAUGUGAUCCUGCGAGAGCUGAAAAAUUCACCAGACGAUGCGGGAAAGGAGUGAUGGAGUUGCGCUGCAUUCUAGGAAUCGGCAGGACCAGGCCGACCAAAAUGCGCGGACGCUCACCCAUCAUCCCAGACGUUUCCGAUCGCGGCGUUCCAGAACAUAGCUCCAACCAUGGGCCCUCCUGUGGACUUCAUCCAGUGUAAGUUGUCAGCAACCAGCUGGAAAAGCAGUACCCGCUGCUCGGCCGUGUAAGCACUGCACGCAGUUAGGGCCGAGAACUGUGGUUUAUAAUUGUGGUCUACACGUAAAAGCUUGCUUGCGCCCGGAUUUCUCCUGGAUGUGCUCACGGCGAGCCAGGACGCAAACAGCUCGCGCGCAAAAUAUCAACCCAGAACACUCCUAGCCAGACAGACGCUGUGUACCGGCGGCAACCAAAGACCCAAAGGAAAAAUUUUCCUCUAACAGCACGCGAAACCGUAUACGGGUCACGUACGGCAGGAUGAGGCCGUACUCCUCCAUGAUGAGGGGCUUGCCGACAUCGGCCGCGAUGCGCUGAUGGACGCCCAAAUACUGCACCAUGUAAUUGCAGAAGCAGUCAAAGUCGCACUUCGUCCACGUCGGCGGCACGGACUCCAUCUGGGAGGGAAGCCAGCAACAUUCCCCGGCACGUUCAGAAGUUAAGGCUACAGGUGACAUGGGCACGCUGUGCAUCAAGGCCAGGGCGUGCUGCUCCUGCUGCUGCUGCUGGGGUGCCUGGCUGCUCGCUAGGGCAUCCGUACGACACAGGUGGUAUUGCCUGUAAUCCUCACCUGGCGCUCGUACACGUGUACAACCGUCGCGUCAAUGGAGUCGAACUUGCUCAAUGUAGCCCAAUCCUCGCCCUCACACCUUGCACCCGCACCUGUGGAGAACGAGCGGCCCGGGUCCGGCAACGGCCGUGAGGGUGUAGAACCCCACGUAUAUGGCUUUCGCGCUGCACUGCAAGUCCUGUGCUCAGUCCCUCUGACUGGGCCAUGUAGAUAUCACACGUGCAAAGAUCCAACAAAUGGGUCAUCGCUGCAAAUCUAGCGAGGUAGCAAUAAUAACCCCACCUGGGUUGUAAUUCUCGUAGGACUUUAGGAAGUAGCCUUCGGUACCUAGGGCCACAAGCUGAUUGGGAGCAUUGUCGCGCACGUGCGAGGCCACGGCCCGCAGAAACGCCUGUUGCGCACUCUGUGAGAUCGCGUCGGUGCAGCCGGGGCAGCGCGGCUCGUUCAUCGCGUCGUACAUCAUGAUGGCAUCGUCGUCCCGGUAGAAGCGUCCGUUGAAGGUGUUCUUGCGCCAGAGAAUGGCGGAGACGUGAUCCCGAUAGAAAUGGAGCACUUCGGGGGAGUUGUAAAAGUCCAGCAGAUCCUUGCCAACUGGGUUGGAGGGAAGAAGGGUGGGCGGGGGAAUAAUUUUGCUUUUGUGACGCUUUGCAAUGAAGGCACGUGAGAAGCUGCGCAGCAAGAGAUGGCGCAGGCACCGUGCACGCGCAGCGCGCUGGGGCGUUUCAAUGAAAUUGCGAACAUGUCUAGGGGUUGCACACCUGGGUCGAUGCCAGCCAUCCUCAUGAAGUCUUGAGGCGAGCGAUAUGCAGUCCACGUGUUGCCUAGUGUCAAGAUUAACUUGAUGUUGUGCCUAUACGUGAGAUUGCGAGCUGCGUCAGCUAUUUACAAUAGAUUGGCUUUCCGCUUCUAGUGCUCAAAUCUCCACCUGCCAGCCGAAUCGAUGAUGUAGUCGAGACCUUCAAACUCGGUCUCGUCAUACUUUCCCCAAGCAUAAGGCAUGUUGUGAUUGAAAGCCCAGAGACGAACAACCUCGAGCCCAAAUUCCUGCGUGGUGGCAAAAGUCAAUUAUCACAUAGGGUCUCAUAGGUCAAACACAGAAGCGAUUACUGAUCACGCACGUUGCAGUAGUCGAAGAAACGGUCAACGAUGCCGCGGUCCGUCUGGACAAAGUCGAUAAGCCUGCACAGUGGCGCACUUGGUCAAAGAAUGAGCUAUGAGCACGUCUCUUGCCAGCGGCACAGCAGCAAUAGCUCGGAGGUUAUAACUUAUGCGGCCCUCACCAAUAAGCAUUAGCUCCUUGAAAAUACCAGGGAUUGCCAUCUACACAGAGCUGGUGGCCGCAUCUCUGCACGAACGAUGCCUUGGCGGUAUGUAGGCAGGAUAGGGCGAUUGCCACCACAGCGAAAACCACAUGAUAUUUUGAUGGAUUCAUCUGGCUGUUACAGGCUGAUCCACGCCUGGGGGAUUAAUGAAAAAGGAUUUGCCAUUGGCAUGCCAUGGAAAUACCAGCUUCGGCAGCGUUGGUUAGGCAAGAUAUCAAGUAUUAAACAUAAACAUGGUAGAAUAUGGGGGCCCUUCCGAUACCUUUUCUGACGCCUGCAAGGCUUCUACGGACGCCUAAGAUUAUGGUGCACCAACUCUAGCCCUGGUCUGGUCCACAAGCAGGCCUGCCACUUGAUUGCAUAUGAUAUAAUUGAUUCAGAUGAAGGACUUAUCUGUUGCCUUAUAUACAGCAUGGAUUGCCAGUCUGCUCGUCCGAUUCCGUUGGAUCCUGGCCAUUUUCAGGUCCCGUUUUCCACCAUUUUCAGGAUCUUUUUAGUUAAUUGAUACAUGGUAUCAUGUAAAACAUACAUUGUUUCCCUAUCCUUGACCCUUUCGUCGGUCGUAUGCGGUCAUCUUACUAAGGCUCACCAGAAAUUUGACAGGUUUUACAGAGCCACAAAGCUGAAUUUAUGGGUAUUGAAGUCCUAAACUAUUUUCUAUUUUAAAGCCUGAAGUUUACAGGAGUUGCACUUGGCGCGGGGCAGCUGGUCCUGUCGGGCUGUCGGCGGACAUUCUAACGUGCAUAACGAGCGGGUAGAACCAACGCCCAGCAUGACCCGUUUUGAACAAUUACAUGAGUCACACAUGUACGUUUGCUAGCUAUAUGUUAACAGAGAUAGUGGCUCUGCGCCCUCGGGCACCGGAACGUCGGCCUCAAUUCCACGCAAGAACUCUUGCAGAGUCGCCGCACUCUCCGCAGGUUGCAAACUGAAGCGCUUCAAUGGCAAAUGUUUUCUCGGCGAUUGAAGUGCUCACAUUUCAGCGGAAGGCCUUCAGUUCUGGUGCCCGGUGCGUUGUAAACGUGGUGUCGGUAGGCGUGUACGUGAGCGAAUUUCCUCUCAGUCAUCGGUAGGAACUUGCAUAUGCGCUUCCUCACGCCACCUGUAUUCAUUGGCCAUCUGGGUCAGCUGGCGCUAGGUGUUAUUAUUGGAGGCUUUCAGGUGACAGAGCUGAGCAGCUGAGUACAGAUGCGACGCACACAGCCUUUGGAAUCUAGUCAUGAUGACAAUAACCGUACAUCGGCCGCAGCCUGGCGUGUGUUAGUGUGGGGAGUGGGAGCAAUCCUGGGCAUUUUGGCCCAUGUACGCUCGCACAGACCAGAACAUUUAUCUAAUCAUCACAGUCCCAGCCGCAAUUCACUCAACUAUAGGGUACAAGUUGCUAAUUCAUUUCAAAUGUUCUAAGGAAACUGAACGACUUAGGUCUUGCUGGGAAAUAGUAGUCCAUUGAAAUUAUGAACGUUUCCAAGUAGCGCUGGCCAAGAUAUUGGCGUGUAACCGCUAAUCAUAUUCCCUGGUUUUGCUCUAUCGAAGGGCGCAGUUUCUUGUGCAUAUGAAUAUUGCGAAGAGAGAGAGUUCAUUAUUCAGGGGCAUUACAAGUACGGCCGUUCCAUGACCGAAACACACCAAUACUAAUAAGAGUGAAUGACCGAUAAGCAUGAAAAACUGUCGGGCGUCUGGCCAUAACUGGUUCUGUAAGUAACUUCAAAACCGGCCAAAAAAGGUCAGAUCCCGAACAGCGGCAAAAACGAAGAUACAUGUCGAACAUCGCUGAAAAUGCUCGCCCACGCCAUAGGAAGCACGCGACAUUCGCGGCGAACUCAGUUUCUUCGGACCUCGACAACAAGCUCACUAACACUAAUACGAUCGAUACAUACAUACAUACGUAACACUUGCGUGUGCCUGGCGAGGAAGAACAGAUGUUGCCCGAACUUCCUUUGCUUAAGCAUAAGCAAUAUCAAGAACUUCCUGCUUCACGCAAUCACGAACAAAAACCGAACUGAAAGGCAAUUUUUCAUUCCAGCACGCGUGUGCGAGCCUACACAGCCUCUUGCCAGAAGCCGUCGAAAGCGGCGAAGCCACGCAGUACACACACGAAACCGAGAACACAACAGAAAAUUAUUUAAAGAUUAAAUCUCUCGAAAUUAAGAACUGUCCCCUCUCUAAGCCCCUAUCAUUUUCCCUCUCUUCAAUCCCCACCUCGCUGGACAACUAUCCUGGGUUCCCGAGGAAAACCAGGAAAUCCGAAACAAACACGGCGCCGCAGCGGGAGGCUGCAAAUAGAUAUACAGUUACCAUGCACACAGCAAGAACGAACGCAACCAUGUGCAUCAUAUCAAGCAAGAACCUAUCACACCAACCACGGCAGACGCAGCAUGUUGUAUGGACAUCUGCCCGACGACUACCAACGCCUUGUAAUUCUGCCCAAACCUGGUUGUUAAAGCAGCACACAAGUACCUAUCAAGAGGCCAAUCUACCAGUCAUCUUUCAACUCCGAGAGCAACAUCCGAGCGCGGUUAAUGCAAUACAGAGCCACGAAGUGCAAAAAGUGGCUCUCGCUCAGCCCGUACAUAGCCAGAAUCUUCCUUCUCUCCCUCAAUGCCAGGCAAGAUCGCGCAUCUGCCGUCGCAUGUCACACCUCUUCAAAUGCAGUAGGAAGUCGCUCAGUGGCGUUGGGCCGCCGCGCGCGCUUGCGACUUGGAGAAGUGCUCAUCGGCCAUCUUGCGCAGCGCAGCCGCCGCUGCAGGGCCCGUCUUGUCCACGAGCUUGGAGAACAUGGUCUCCCGGUUAGCCAGCAGCUGCGCCGGCGGUGCGAACUCCUUCAACUCACCGGCCUCCAUAACCAGCACCUUGUCGGAUUCGAUAAUGGUGUCCAAGCGAUGCGCAAUGGUGAUGGUUGUACGGUCGUCGAACACCUUCUUGAUGGUCUCCUGCACCACUUGCUCCGUGUGCGGGUCCAUGGCUGCCGUAGCCUCGUCCAGGCACAGGAUCGGCACCGCACGCAGAGCCGCACGCGCCAGGCACACAAGCUGCAUCUGACCCAGGGACCAGGCCUUGCCACCGGUGCCAUCGACGCGACCAUCCAGACCACCGGCGUGCUGAGCCUGGGCCUCAAGACCCACCUUCUGCAGAACCUCCCAGAGGACAGAGUCGUCCUACACGGCGAGAAACGAUGCCGGUAAUUAGCGACGAUAAAUGGAUGUUCGUGCGCGUAAAUAACGUUUAUUGAGACGUUACUUAUGUGCGCGCUGCUGCAAUAAGAACACGCAUAACCCCUGCUACAGAAGGUUCACUCCUCCCCGAAAACAAAAACCAUUUUGCAGUGUGAAAGGAAAGCCUCUGGCCAUGCAAUACAAGUGUGGCAGGCAAGGGCCAAGACUAAGACAGGAAAGGACUGUGCGGAGGCCCGGGAAAAGUGAAGGGUCACCUUGAACUCGCCGAAGGGGUCCAGGUUGGAGCGGACGGUGCCCGUGAACAUGACCGGCUCCUGGGGAAUGAUAGAAAGGCCUGCGGAAGGGAAGACGCGCAAGUGCGGCAAAUGUAAAAGGAGAUGGCUCGUCAGCUCGGGGCGACCGCAGCGGUGCAAGGAAUUGCCAAAAUGGCAGACGAACAUGCGCGGUAAAACCUGCUAUUUGGCAGAGCCAUGAGAAACCCCCGAGAAUCCGAAUUGCGUCCUCUGAGCCAGGGUAGCUUACCGGUGCGCAGGCGCUUGAGGCUGAGGGUGGCAAUGUCAACACCGUCGAUGAGAAUGCGGCCCUUGCCCAGUUCGAACAUGCGGUACAGCGCCAGCAGGGUGGUAGACUUGCCAGAGCCGGUGCGGCCCACAGCGCCGACCUUCUCGCCGUCGUUGAUCUUGAAGGUGACGCCCUUGAGGGCCCAGGCGGCAUCCAGGCGGUACUGCAUCCAGACAUCCUCGAAGCGGAUGUUGCCGGUAGCUGGCCAGCGAGCGAGCGCGGCAUCAUCCACGACAACCUGGACCUUGCUGGUCGCUGCAAGCAUGAAUCAAGCAGAAAUAUAGACAAUGAAAACAUGGAAAAUCAAACAGAGUAGAAUCAUAUGGUUACACACAAGUUACAUUUGGAUGGCGGUAUUCACUAUCGUGCUUAGGCAGUCAGGUCGAUAUCCCGAUUCUUACCGGGAACAAUCUGGCCAUCAGGCAAGGUGAUGCUCUUGGCGACACCAUCGAGCUGCUUCUGGUCGUAGAAAAUGCCAUCCUUCGGCACGUAGUCAGCCAGCCAAGCCAUCUGCGAAUUAACCAACGACGAACAUUAAUAUUCAGCGAAAAUUCCACGACCGCAGCUUACGGUGGCAGCGAGGCGACUACGCAAUCGAAGCUGCGAACACAAGGUAACGGUGCUUCACUUACCGCCUCAACACUGUUGAACAGCGAGAUCGACUCAGCGAUGAAACGAACCACCCAAGUGUAGAAGACCAACAUCUGAAUGAUGUUAGAGAAGGCGAGACCGACGGUAGCGGCACCAAGUUGAUCUGCAAAGGAGCCACAGAAGAGCGGGGACAGAAAUGUCAGUACCUGUUUAACGAAAGCGACAUCCUUUCUAAGCACUCCAACCUCAGCAAAGCGACAUUUACCGAAACAUUCCGAGCCCAUCCCGCCAUGCAAUUCCCUAGCCCAUCCCGCCAUGCAAGGAAUUGGCAGACAAGUUUUAUAAACAGCCACCCACCCUUGAGGCCCACGGCGAAGGCGCUCACGACGCCCACAAGGGAAGCACCGAUGAGAUCGCACCAGAAGGCCAGCCACAGGUUGAGAGACUCGGCGUUAAACACAGCGGCAUUGGUCACGUCAGUACGGCGAGCAGCUUCCUCGAUGAAGUACUCCUGCUUGGAGAAGGCCUGUACGACGUUGAGUCCCUCCAGCACCUCAGCAACCAGACCCACAAGCUGACCGCCGCUAACGGCACGAGCCUUCUUGAGGGCGGUGGCGGCUGGCAGGUAGAUGGCCAACAUAAUCAACGUCAUGAUGAUGAGGAAGCCAGUGAAAGCGCCAAAGAAGUUGAUGGUGACGGAGACGGUGAUGGUGGUGGCCAACAGAAUCAGACCGUAGAUGCCCAUGAAGUGGAUCGCAUCUGGAAGAUUCUCAUCCAUGAUAUCCUGCAGCAGGAAGCAAACAUCCAUUCCACGACAUGCAACACAAUUUCAUCAGACGAACUCCCGUCGGAAUAUCGUCAGAAUGCCAAGUCACAGGGCCUAUGUCUUUCUGCGAAGAGGUUCGCUAAGAACGCACUCGCUCGCUCAGUCACCAUUUUUUUCGCUCGCUCGCUCGCUCUGUCACAUACACACAUACACACACACACACACCUGAUCCUUGGUGAAGUUCAGCAGCAGGUCACCGACGGGGGUGACGAGGAAGAAGCCCAUCGGAGCGUUGAGCACGUUGUUGAGAGCCUUCUUCCGAAUGUUCUCGGAGGAGCGCAGAACCCACCACAGGAAGGUGGAGCCACGAGCAACCAUAGUGAAGUAGAAGAGACCCACGAGCAGCAGAUAGAUCAGCGCAUAGAACUUGGUAGCGCUCUCCUCGCGCACGCCGGUGCGCUUGGGGAAGUGCUUGUACUCAUCGUUCACCCACCAACGAACCCAGAAAUCGGACAUCUGGCGACAGGUCUGAGCAGCCAGGAAGGUAAUGAAGCACACGAACACUGCGCGGGGGAAGGUUAAGGAGGAAAAUGGGGUGAAGCGGGAUACAACACGGUUAUAGGCAGAUAAGCGGCAGAUUGCGUCAAUAUUCCGUCAUCGCGUCAACAUGCGCUAUUUUACCUUGACCCUAGACCCUAAAUUGCUGCAUUGCAUUGAUCUCCGUUACAUCCAUGCCUGCCGACUCACCCAGGAGGAUAUUUCCGUAGUACGUGUAGAUGAGGGCGGCCUUGAAAGCGGUGAGCUUGGGCGCCGCCUUGGUGUCCUUCUGAGUGGGCUUGCCGAUGGAGGUGGGAGCCAGGGUCAGCUGCAGCGACUGCCUGCUCGGAUCACACAGGGGAAAGGAAAAGAUUGGGGUUAGAUCGACGCACAUUCAUGUGUGUUUCUACGCACAUCUCACGGACUAGAGCCAACCCCUGGCGCCAACGUAAAUUGCAUGGGGUUCCCUCCGGGGAAACCCAACUUACGACUUCUGCGGGGUGGCCUUGUCGUCCUUCUUCUUUGGGGCGGCGGGAGGAGCCUCCUGGGAGCCAGCGGCGUGCAGAAGGUGCGUGAUGGGCAGGAGCUUACCCAGCAGGUGCUGCGACUCCUCAUUCCAUUUACCUGAGAGAUUAGGGAGAUGCGGAAGUGGGUAGGUAGGUGCGAGUAAAAGCUAACGUCCAUAGCGCUGAUGGCAACACAGCUUGCAACUCUUUUUCAACAUAACCCCACGUACCGAAGUAGAGGCAGCGACCCUCGUCCAUAAUAGCGACGGCAUCGCAGCGCGGCAUGAACUCAAUUUGAUGGGUGAUCAGAACGACGGCCUUGUCCGAGAAGAGGCCCUUGAUGCACUUGUCGAAGAUGUGGUGAGCAGUGUGGUGGUCAACGGCCGACAGGGCGUUAUCCAACAGGACCAGAUCAGCGUCCGCAUACGCGCAACGAGCGAGGUUAACGCGCUGACGCUGGCCUCCCGAGAAGUUGACACCGCGAAUACCAGCCCUGCGAAUCGGUUGUAAGUUUCCGAACGAAUUAACACUUUGUCUUGUUGGCUCCUAUUGGAGAUUUACGUGAAAUUCGGGACAACAGACUACUGAACUAAGAUUUUGACUAGGGAUGAGGAAAUCUUACUUGCUCUGGUCCCCCUGAGGAAGAAUCUGCAAGUCCAUGGUCAGCGCGCAAGCGUCGAUCACAGCUUCGUACUUGUUCUCGUCCCAACCCUCGCCGAAAGUGACGUUGUCGCGGAUGGACAAGUUCUGCAGCCAAGGGUUCUGAGGCACGUAGGAGAUGCGGCCUCCCACUUGCUGCGAGCCGUGCUCCUUGACCAUGUUGCCGAGGAUGGCCUGCACCAAGGACGACUUGCCAGCUCCAAUACGGCCCACCACAGCGACCACUUGGCCGGGGCGCACGUCGAAACGGGGAACGUGGAGGUGCCUAGCAAGCGAUCAUAUGCGGCAUUCAGCAGACAGGGCAGAAUUUCAUUCACAAUUCAGGAGUAGGUAUUUCAUUCGAUGUCAGAGCGUUAUGCGAGUCAUGCCGUCCAAUAGCUGAUGCUCAUGUUGGGAGCGUUGCCAGCGGAGCAGUAAAUUAGCUAUGCGACGCGAGCAUCUUUCGCUCCCGCGCAAAGUUACCGGAGACUGGGCUUCAGGAAAUGCUACAACUAGGAGUGUUACCAUUACAUGGCAGGUGUUGGCUUACUAUACAUUAGCAUUGGCGCACAGGGAAUGCACUCUGCCCGUAGCUCUCACCAGUUGGGGUUACUGGGGUGGUGGUAGACGGCGUUGUCCUGCGUAACAUAAAGGAGGCGGGGAGGGCGACAAGUCGGACUUAGCACCCAAUGACUGCAACAUACAUUGCCAUACAACGACUGUACACAUCAAACAAAGUAGAGGAUAAGCAUGAGAAGCCACGUUGUCUUACGAUGUGGACGCCAGGCGCGGAGGACUUGCUGCUCUUGCCGCCCGAAGCGGUGCCCUGUGGCACAUCCUCAAGCAGGUAAGACUCCAGGCGCUGCAGGGAAGCAUGAGCCUCUGCGCACAGGACAUGGGUGUAAAGGUAGCGUCGCGAGAAGAGGACAACGUCAAUGACACGAACAGGGGGGAAUCAGGCGACACAAGCAAACUCCCACUGCAGCAGGAACCCCAAAUACAACACGCAACCCUAGCCCUUUCCACGUUGCCAUGCGGCCACCUACCAGACACGGCGCGCAGAGCCUUCGGCAGCACCACAAGGGGGAAACGCAGAAUGUUGAACAGCGACAGGGUGGUGAAGGCCACGCCAGACACCAGACGAGCCUUCUGGAACUCAUAGGUGGUGAAGAUGACGAACGCGGUCAUGGGAGGCACGCAGAACACGCAAGCCACGUUGAUGACCUUCAUCAUCGCGUUCCAGAAGGACAGACGCAUCUCCUCGCGGCGGAUCUGAGGGGGACGCCAUGGCACGGAAUAAGUAAAUAGAAAGAAAAGCGCAGCCAAAGUCACGGGCAACAUUUGCUAUGCGAUUGUCACGAUGUCAAUAUUGUUACAUUUCAAUUUUCCUUCGUAUCAAUAGUUUGCCAUUCAGUUUGUCAUUAAAAAGCUGCGCCUGUUAUUGCAACCUCACCAUGUCGCGGGACCUACCUUAGAAAUCUCAUCCUCGAAGAACUGCUCCCAUGCGUAGUACUUGACCAGCUUAAUAGCAGGCAGCACCUCCUGCAGGAUGGAGCUGCGCAGAGCAACGUGCUUGGCAUUCUGCAACUUAAUCUGGAUAAUCUUGUAGCCAAAGAAGUACUGCAGCGGCAGGACCAGCAGGAUGACGCCCAGACCAGGCAGCAUGGAAUCGUUGGUAAGGUAGCCCAGCAGUGCCAGAAUAGCAGCAGCCUCGAAGGGAGCAGUCCACAGGUAGUGAAACUCCUGAGAGCGACGGGGGCGCACAUACAACAUAAGGGGAUUAAGGCAGCGGCAAAGAAUCUAGAACCCUGCUGAUGAUGUUGCGGCUGAUGGCUGCAAAAAACAACUCCAGGCGAGCAGAGUAGGUUCAGAACAAGAGCAACUAAAACUUUCGUGAUAACAAUUUUACUGAUGAACAGCUCACGAUAAAUUACCGUUAACUAAUGCCGCUUACCAACGCGCCAUCGUAGAUUUUCUGAAUAUCGGAGGAGACGAAGUUUACGAUGGCGGCGGACUGGUCAGCUCGGACAGAACUGAGACGAAAGGCCUUGUGGGUCACAGCUUGAACCAGAGCUGCGCGAGCGCGGAUACCGACAGACAUACAGAUGUAGCCCAUGCGCUGAAGACUGAGACCAAGAAGCCAGGCAUCGAGGGUGAAUCCCGCCAUCAAGCACCAGCCAGAUACAGUCUUGGAGUACAGGCGACCGUCCUUGAUGCCGUUGACGUGAGCAAGCAGACUGCGGACGGGAUUGGGCGCGUUAAAAGGGGAGCCGUUUGCUUAUCGCGCAUGCGAUGUAGGAGGUGCGAAUAAUAACUGCCAUGCGCAUGAAUGCGAUGAUACAAAUAGCUGUAGUAAGACACAGUUUCCAUUUGAGAAAACAGGUGGGAUGCAGAACGUAAUUAAUGCUAAGGAACAAGAACUACAUGUUAAGAAGCAAAAUUAUAGCAUAAAAUGGCCUAGAGGAAGCAUUCACUGGUAUGGAAGCCCAGCGCGAUCAGUCACUCGGAAUAGUGUAAGGGCCAAGGAGGCGUGCGCUAGGAAGUCAUGCGCGCUAGGGCAUAUUCACAAAAAUCAUCGUGAGCUUGUCAUGUAUUUAGCACGCUGCGGACGCAGUAGGUCUUGGCAUGUGGGAGAGAGAGAUCGGAUUAAUCAACGGAAAUGGUGGUAUGUAACGCUCCGAAAUCGGUAGCCGAGCUAACCUGCGCACGAAGUAGAAGGCGCCAGUGAUGACGAAAGUAGACCAGAAGCACUUGAAGACACCACCAAGAAGAUAGACCAAGCCGAAGGACUUGCGCAGGGCGCGAACAAGUGAAGGCUUCGCGCCCGAGUCCUUGAGCUUCAUCUCAGCCGCCCAGUUAGAUGCGAACAUAUCAUAAGCCUGAAUAAAUAUAAGGAGGGUAAAUGCGUCGAUUCAGUACAAAUUGUGAACACAGACGACUGCGCAGUCCUUAACCUCCGACGCCACCACUAAGCUUACCUCAUGGGCAUGAUUCUCAGGCGGCAUGCCCAUCUUGUCCAAGUCGAUGUCGCCAUUCUUGCCUGCGACAGUCAAAAAUGCCAUAUUGAGAAGUGACUAGUGAAAUGGAAAAAUCGACCACUUGCACACUUCAGAUAUCACUUACGAGCUUCGGACACAUGCUUGAACAUCCAUCCGAAGGCGAACUUGUUAAAGAAUCCCGCAGUGGGAUCAUUGCCCCUAGCGGGGUGGCUUAUCGUGCCCAUCGCUCACAGAUGUAUGCUUCCAGGAACCAAGACUUGGUUACUCUGAUAAUCGCUAUCUAAGUGUAAUGUUUAACGCUUUCCAAAUUGGUCUGCACGAGAUCAAAUCGUGCAAACACUAAAUCACUUUGCCAACUCAGGCUCUUAAUCUACAACUACACCUUCUCAGCGCCAGAGGCUGAUGACCACGACGACUGACCCUGAUGUGGUGAUAAAUGAUGUUUUUACAGCCUUCAUAUAUCCUUGAUGUCCGCGGUUGCCGAUGUCGUACCAUUGCGUGGGAUGUUAGAGGUUGUCCGAUGCCGUACACUACUUUGCCAACUACCCUACUACAUGGAUUGAAUGCUCGUUCACAAAUGCGUGAAAGUCGUGAAACGUACGUGAUAAUUCUGUUCAUUGUCGUGUAUGGUAUACUCUUGAAAUCCUAGAUAUCAGGUGCAUGCACGCACCGAUGACGUUCGCAAUAUUCAUGACUGUUGGCCAUAAUCGCAUAUAAUUCAAUGACGUCCUAACUAAUGAGCUAUAACAUGAUCCUGUAACUAAGUAAUUGCUUGCACUUCAUGCUGAUAUCCAAAGUCAUGUUGUCAGUUGAUGCACUCGACGUCUUUCCUUAACAUGGGUCCUCAUCCCCUGGCAUGUUUAAGCGAUGAAGCAAGUAAUAUGCAUUAUAUAACAAUCUUCAUUCUGCAAACCGAAGGUGAAUAGUAGGUAUUUACAUCUUUCCGUUGAAUCACCAAAGCUUUCCUCAGCACCUCUAAGCACUGAUCAGCAUUAAAUUUCAAUAUUCCAUGCAUACCCAGAAGAUUUUUGAGUUCAUCGCUUGUAUAAACGGCGCUUUCCUGACCAUAUGCAUAGCUUCGAGACAAUUAUGUAUGCAGCUGACAAAUAAGGAUACAAUACAAAUAACUUCUCUGUCGACGACUGCCUAAACAUGCUAUCCAAGAUUUCUAGCGACGUCUAGCUGAUUACGUUCACUCAAGGUCGACAUAUCGAGGGUUCAGUUGGCCCUGCGUUUCGUUUCCCAAAUAACAACUUUUACAACAACUACCUAUCGGACAUGACCUAAAUGUCUACCAUGUCAUAACCAUAAGGCAAACAUCACUCUUCAACCGUCCCCGCACCGACAAGAAAAGCACGCGCGACAACGGUAUGGGAUAGUGGCCAUUUCGCCUUUUUUAAGCCGCAUAAGGGUGAUCUGAAGAAUGUCAAAAGACAAACGGAGGUAAAAGCCCGAUCAUAACUGGAGGGUCCUUAAAUCCGCGGCAUUCCGGCUGACCAACCGCGCAGACCGCGUGCUAAGUACAGCACCCCCGACUGACAAGACCUACCACAGGACAUGGACGGCGCCUUGUUUAGAUUUAUGCUUUCUUUGCCCGGCCUUUGAUUCACAGCUGUAUCGAGGGGGUUCAUCUGCACAUGGGACUUUACUAGACCAAAACAAAACAGAAUCUGGGCUCACUUUUCUGUUCAGUCCAAUCCUACUGCAUAAUUAAAGAUUUCAGAACGCUCACCCACAGCUCCCGGUUCGAGCUUUGAUGCCGCUUUUUGAGUUCAUUUAAAGUUUCACUGGCCUAGGCUUUGGGUUUGGGUUUGCCGCGGCCGGGAGGCCGCAACGCUUUCCUGUCUACGGAGCUAACCGACUGAUGUCCCUUGGGGAACCCCUCUACCUAUACUGGUUUGAAAACACUGUGUAUUAACGCGGGUGCCCCCCUCCCCGGCUCACACCCACCGUUGAAGCGUUGUAUGCCCGUGUGUGCUUCCCAACGGGAUUCAGCGACAUAGCGCGUCAUUUAAGAUGCUUAGCCUAGUAACGCAAAAUAGUGUAAAUGCCGCACAGCCUCCUCUUUAUUAUUGCAUUGCGGAGUCCUUUUUUGUUGCACACGCGAUACAAAGGAAAGGAGCUUGCAUAUGCGGUAUUAUGUUGCGCGCUACACCGCAAUUGCGAGCCCGCUUAAUUACUGAUUGCCAGAUGGGUGCUUCGACGCUGUUGGGCCAUCAGCGGGCCAUAUGCCUCGUGGGUUCAUCAUCAGCGGUUGUAGCACCCAGAAGGAAAGGAGAUAUUUUCCCUCCCCUGCCCAUCUUACAUCUUAUCGGUCUCCCCUUUUGGGACCGCUUUGUGGAUAAGAGUGACGCGCAGCGUGUGUCCGGGCAUCUGAGAGGGAAUGCAACAGAAUGCAGCAAGUCAAGGAAUCUCUCCGUGGGUUGCCACCAGUACUUAACCACAACGAAACCGUCCACCACAGACAUUACAGCGCCAAAGCAGCAUCAGCACACCCCGCUUCAUCCAGCGGACCAGAGGAGUGCAAAAACAAUCAUCUCCACCGAAGAUGAAGAAGAAGACGACGCACCUUCCGUUGGCCAUGGGCUUGUACAUAGUUGACCCCAAACCAUCCAUCGCCAAGCUGCAGCGCAACAUACGCGACUUUUGUGAUAUAAACGAGAAACGCAACAAAAAGAAGGCACACAACGUAUUUCACUAGUUCGAUCUCACCACUACGUUGGUUACAGUCCCAUACCUCAAAAUCCCACACCAACGCGACGAGUCAGAUCACCUUAACAUUGACCUAGAAGCAAUUCGACAGACGACGACACAGGCCAGGCCAUCACCACCUCCGGAAAGACACGCGUAAAGAGCUGUGCACGAGGACCAAGACCAGAAAGACCAGGCAGACCUGGAACAGGAACGGCAGCUGGAAGGGGGGCCGGCGGCGGUGGACGGAACACCUAAAUUCAACCAAAACAGUCAACGGAGGGGGAUACACCACGUUACCCUUUAGCGGCGCAACGCACAAUCGCCUAACCAGCCCGGGAAUUCAAAUGCUGUGCAUACACAUGCACGUACACAACGCAGCAGCAGCAGCAGCAGCAGCAGCAGCAGCAGCAAGCCUACCACAACAGUUAGAUUGCGAGGCGCUCCUCUGGGCCCCCAAAUAGCGUAUACGAGUGUGCAGUACAUUAUCCAGAGCAACGCCGAAACCGCCAACCGGAACCGCCAACCCGCCAGUUCGCCAAAUCCUCACCGGCAUGUCCAACUGGAAAUGAAGGCAUUGUCCGCUUGGGCGUGUCCCUUGGCCCGCUAUUUCCUCUUAGCACUUAAUUAGCACAUCAUACAUACAUACAUACACACACAUACAUACAUACUUUGCCCUAGCUGAGACUUGUGGACUCGCUCUAGCGGGACCUGAGAGCCUUUCGUGGUGUUUUCACUGCAGCGCCAUCCCCGGAUGGAGAGGCUGCGGAGUGGCUGCGUAGAGUGUUGGCAGUCUGAGUCGGGGUCGGGAGCACGCAAGACUAACCGACUUGUGCUGUGUGCUCCCGACCCUUGCGCAGUGUUUCGGCUUCGGCCCCCGGCUCUCGCGGCCCACAGUGUAAUCUAAGUCAUAGAUACAUACAUACAGUUAAGACACGAUCACACCUCAAACCGGGCGGUCUCCUCCUAGCAAGCUUAAACAGUACCCAACCCUAGGCAUUCCUCCUGCCGUGGCGGCGAAUCAAACCCGUACAGAUGCGUGGGAUGCCCAUUCCACGCACCUAAAUUCACAAAAUCGUACACCGCCGUACGUGGCAGCUGUCGUGCACGUCACAAAACACACUUCCGGUGGCUCCCUCCCGAAACGCGAUGAAUGAUGAUGCGCGGUGGCUCCAGAGCGAAACCAGGCAACCUUCUCUCGGAUUAAGAAAUCCAACUCAAUGAUGGCCAUUAUCGGACUACUUGAGGCCAUGUAUGUGUAUUUCUCCCCCAUCAUCCCUCCCCGGGUCUCCUCUCGCCCCUCACCAAGUGCCCCAAUCCACACCUGCUUACACGGGCCCUAUGGGACACCACGACGCUUUACCCCAGCGCACCAAGCAGCUCCGAAACAAAACACACACAGACACACACACACACACGCACAGAUCUUAAUUAGCACGGGCCCGGCCAUCCCGGACCCUGCAGGCCGGCUCUCCGCCAAGGACUCCGCUGAAAACCUUUCAUCAAAGAUAUGUUGUAUUUACAUGCAGCAUUAAUAGGCCGGGCCCAGGGUGGCUCCGAGAAAAAACAAGGAUGGCCUCCGACCACCCGCCGCGGGAUAUGGAGGGGUACAAGAUUAUCCGGGGUUUCCAAGGGUGUUUGUGCGUAUGUAUGUAUGUAUGUAUGUAUGUAUGUAUGUAUGUAUGUAUGUAUGUAUGUAUGUAUGUAUGUGUGUAUGGUAGUGGCGGCCUGCUGGCGGUGAACCCCGCGAUGUCUCAACCCCUCUUGUCACAUUUCUCCUCUAGACUGACUACCAUGGACACGACUCCACAGUUUCAUACUUGUUGUUUGCUUUUCAGACAUACCCCCAGACAUACUUUUUGGUGCAGCCGCAGUCGCAGUCGCGGUCGCAGCAGUGCAGUUACCGGUCCAUACAGGGAUUGGAAAACUCUACCACGUCGCCACGGACAACGGAGAGCUUGCUCAGUAGUCCGAAGCUGUUCGUGCAAAAACCACCAUUGCCAUUUCCCUCAUCGCGACUCAAAUCAUCAAAACCAGGCGGAUGAGUGGAUACACACAACACCCCGCGGCCCACCACAUGGAAACGUGUGUCAUAAAAGCACUACACAUCUUUAUACUUCCCCUUGAUACGCAGACAGACAGACAGACUGACUGACAGAUAGACAGGCAGACAGACGGACAGAAAAUCGCAGCCAGACAGACACACAGACAUACAGACAAACUGGCAGGCGAACAGAGAGACAGACAGCCAUGCCCACACCGCCACCACCACCACCACCUCUGGCGACCACCUGUUGCCUCCCCUCCCCAGCAUCCGCCAUCCCGACGUCCCAUUAACACGCUCGAGGGCUCCAAGGGAGUUUCCGCUCCCCUGCACAAACAACACUUUUUGCUCGUCCAACCCCGUAGUAUUUCCUUUUACAUCAAUGCACGCCCGCAUGUGCCUUCUUUACACAUCACCCCAACCCACCACACCGACACGAACAUCGCAGAAUCGGUUCCUUUCCACCAGCUCAUGCGUUCUUAACCAAAUAUGUAGGCAACCCUAGGCGCCGCAAAUCAUAAACCCCCAGAGGAGGCCAGUAUAGGCAACCCUAAAACCCACACUCACUCAACCCUUUCCGCAUCUUUGUACCAUCGACACGUCAUUACACUAUCGCAUCAGCGCGCUGAGGGAGGGCCAGUCAGCAGCUCUGGAUCACACAUGCACAUACGCAACCGUAUAAUACGGACUUACAUGCGUACAAACAGAGGGGCGCGCACCAUCGAAAUGAAGGUGGUGCAGUGUGAUACCACAGGACUUCGAACCACUGCAGGUAUUCCGACGACGAGGGAAGCAACCCGAACCUGGCGGGCUGGGCAACACACUGCCGUCGCUGCUUCCGUGUUGUUGGCGCACAGCUGCUUCUGUUGCUGCAGCUGUUGUAGCAGGGGCGAUGGGUUUUUGCCCCCUACAAGGCUCACAACAGCUAGCUAUCUUCUUGGGUUUGCUUGUGUGUUCGCUAUCGUCUGCUUGAGCGACGAUCUCACGGAUGCUUCUGCUGCGCUGCGGCAACGGCACCGAAGCGGUGGCGGCGGCGGCAAUGGACCCAGCAGGCCAUGACGGCGGGUGAUGACAGCGGUCGUGGGGAGGAGGAAGGAAGAAAGGCGGUCAGAGCGUACAACAACACUCCUCAAGACUCCGGCUCCUGUUCCGGCUGCGGCUGCAGCUGGGCGGGGUGAGACUCCAGGAUAGGCGGCAUGGAGGGCGGCGGACGGGCCGGCGGCUGCUGCGGCGCAGCAGCACCGGCGCCGCUGCCAGGUACCUGCUGGGAAAAGCCGCCGCCGCCGCCGCCAGCACCACCGAGUUGUUCGGCUCCAGCCGCGAAGAAGGGCGGCCGGGCGCCGAUGGUGAAAGCCCCGGGCAUAGCGUUCAUGCAGUCCUGCGGUUCAGAAAAGCGGUUUUCAUCAGGCCCCCAGAAGCAAACCACCAAUGCAGCAGCAACCGUACGAGGAGGAGGAGGAGGAAGAGAAGAAGGAGAAGGAGGAGCAGAAGGAGGGCGAGGGUUAAGGAAAAAGCCAAGCCGACCGGUGCAGGGUAGGGACCGACGCAAACACAUAAUCCGUCGGGGCCUCCUCAAACUGGCUAUCCAUGCCCACUCACAGUCGCUCGGGGAGGCGACAUGCGAGGCGCGACGUACCGCCAUCAUCAUCACGCGCACACAGAAUAAACAGACAAGGCAGGAUGGAAUAUUUGACCAGCCCAUUUUCCCCACCCUCUUUCCACACAGAAAGACAUCCCUCCUAGCCCCCAAGCUGACACCCUCCCCCCCUCGCUCCCCCCCUCUCCCUCCCCCUUUUUUUCCCUUUCCGUUCACCCACCGCAGAAUGCGACGCCGCCAGGGUGGUGCUUCCGUCCACGCCAUGUAGAUAGAAGAGCCCCUGGCCGCCGCCCAGUCCGAGUCCGAAUCCGCCCAGGGCGCCGUUUGGAAACGCCGAAGAGCCUGACCAGGCAACACAUAAUUAUACGACACGGGGAGGUUUGAGCGCAUGAACGGAGCGCGUGAGAGGAAAUGUAAAGCAGAAGCCAGCCAAAAUAUAAAAAAACAAUGCGAACACGGCACAAUAUGCAUUCGCGUGGGUCCUGUGCAUACAUGCGCAGCGUACCUGUGCAUGAACCUGUACCUGUGUCCGUCAACCUGACGGGGUUACAUGCCUAUCUAUGCAUUACAGAAGGAAGGGGGAAUUAUGUAUGUAUGUAUGUAUGUCGCAUGUCGCGGAUCACGAUGAUGCGCAACCCCCCACGUGAUCGUCGCCUCCCCCUUUCACCCCUCCCCGCAUCAGUCUUUCCGUGGCAUCAGCUUCACUCGUCGUCCCCCCCUUCUCGCCACCAACCCCGCUUUGCUGCACUCACUGCUCUCGCCGUGCAUGGUCACAGACUGGAUCAACCCGCCGCCACCGCCGCCGCCACCACCACCGAGGCCAAUCUGCAUCCUCCCGCGGCCGUACAUCAUCGGCAGCGCCGCAGUCGACGCGGUCAUCAAGCUGUCAUCGCCGGCAGGCGGCGUCGCCGGCAUGGCCGCGGCCGCCAGGCCAAUGCUGACGGCCGCGACGGGGCCAGCGACGCCAGCGGCGCCGGCGGCGGUGGCGGUGCCCGUCGCCAGCGAUCCGCCGAUCGGCGGCCCCAGCGGCGCUGCCGGGCGCGCCCCCGGGUCCCCCAUCAGCUUGGCCUUCAUGCGGGUGAGCUCGCCGAUGAUCUGGUCGAAUGUGGGCCUUAUGGACGGGUCGCUCUCCCAGCAACGGCAAGCCAGUAGCUGGAAGUCAAACGGUGUGUCCAAGGGGAACUGGGGCCUGCAGGGCGGAGUCGAUUGGAAGGAAAAACAUCAUCGGGGUGUGGGAGUGGGUUUUAGCAGUGGGUCUUAGGAAACAGGACAACACCGCACAUGGGAAGCCCCUUGGGCCCUUAGGCACCUCACUGUACAGCAGCCUGAUGCUUUGUGCACCUGCCUGCUCCGUAUCGUGAUGGUUCCCCUCCGGGGAAGCGCUUCUUCCCCUUUAGUGCCCUUUUAGGGAUGAACUAAACGUCAUCUCGACACCAACACCUCAAACCCCCUAAAACCGAAACCCCAAGAUGAUGGGUGAAAAAGGGACCGACCCAUAUCCCCCAAUUUACCCCAAUAACCCCCUCAAAACACACACACAUACACAUACAGAUACACAUACACAGCCCCCGAUAGCUGUACCUGCGGUUCAUCUUGGUCACCUCAUGACCCAGCAGGGCUCGCGGAGUGCCCUUGAACGCCUGUCCCGCAGUGUAUGCCUCCCUGGAGUGAGGCGGGGAAUGGGUUGGAGGUUGGAGUAGAGGGGGGAAGAAGGGGGGGAUGCAGGUGGCCGAGGGUGAAAAUGUCUCAAAAACAAAACCCACCACCUCACUACUGCGCAGCUGGGAUCCAACCGGAAACAACCCUUCCCUCCCUUUUCUCCUGCCUUCCCAUUCCUCGCGGAAACCCCUCCCCUCCCCUCCCCUCCCCUCCUCUUACCACAUGAGGAUGGCGAAGGCGUACACGUCACUCAUCUUGGACACCUUGCCGUGCAGCAGCACCUGCGAGCCAAUCACAACCCACAGAGCGUGUGCGUGUGUGUGUUAAGGGGGGGGGAAAUCACGUGCAAAAUACUCAGAAAUGAACUGCCGGGGUUGGAGAGGGACGGGUUAGGAGAGGAAAUGUUAAGAAGGGGAAUUUCAACAAGGAGGCGAGGGGCGCGGGGUUAUGCAUGUGUAUGUGUAUUUGGGGUUGGGGGUCGGGGCUAAAAGAGUAGACCGGGGCGUGAGGAGUGUGGGGCACAGGAAUGGUUGCAGACCCAGUCCUUCCAACAACCACACCCAAACCCGUAACCGUGUCCCGUCCGUGCCGACAUCUAGGUCCGCACACGACGUCGUACACGAUGUGCCGUACACUCACCUCCGGGGCCAUGUGCGUAAUGGUACCUGGGGACAGACAAAUGGAGGAGGUGCGGGUGCAGGUGGGGGGAAGAGGGGAGGAAAACACACAUGCGACGAUGAUAUCAUGGUGCAAAAUUUGAACAGGACUAAACCGCCGACGUCCAAGGCAUCAAGGCGAGGGGUUGCUUUGGACACGCGUUGAAAAUGGCUCGUGUGUGUUUUUGAGGGCACGUGGGCAUGAAGGGGGGCAACUAGAGCCCGGGGCCCACGGGGGUCACCCAAUCCGAGGCCCGGGGUGAAGAUGGGGGAAAUUUCUAGGUUCCGGAGCUAGGCCGUUGGGAGGUAAGGCACGUGUACCGUCCACCAAGAAGAUAUAGACUAGAAAGGAUUUCCGUUCCAAAGAAGAAUAAAAAACAUCAUCAGCUGUCAGGCACUUCAAAUUCAAACUGGUUCACGAGGCCAGGAAAAUGUUGAGAGCGCUAAGAGAUCCAAAGGUCAAGGGACCAUAGACAUCGCAGUGUAGUACACGUGCCGUACACGUACCUUGGUACACGUUGGACACAUGCGUCUCGUGUGGGUCAAUCCGUAAGCUCAGGCCAAAGUCCGCCACCUGUGUACGACACAUGUAUAAAAUGACGAAGCGUACAUCCAGCGUAUGAACGACCUUAACCGUUAACCCACAACCGAAACAACCAGCAAACCUGUCUGUCCGUUUGGUGUGUGGCUUACCGCUCUGGCUCUCUGUCUACAUGUCUACAUGCGCAAUUACACGCAUGCGCAGGUGCACCCUGUGUGCCUUUCAAGAUGGUAUCUACCCCCCCUCCCCCUUUUCCAAACCCUUCUUCUCCUGGUUCCCCCCGCCCACUCCCCCCCCCUCACCUUGGCAACGUACGAGCGUCCAUCUCCGACACAACCGCUUUUAAGCAGGAUGUUGCGAGCCUUCAAAUCUGCGGGGAAGGUGGUUGGGAGCGACACACAGAGCGGCACGGAAUGAAGACGGCAAAGGUCGGGCAUAAGGCCCGAAAAGACCAACCCACCCUGGAUUGAUCCUGGCAAGGGGCCCCCCCGUGCACCCCCCUCUUCCCCCAAACCCCCGGGGAAGUGUAUUCCGGUAAUCUCAACCUGGGUGGUGGAAAGACACAGCAAGGGUGCUACAAACGUUCCGCCAGGGCCCAAGCGCCGUUGCGGUUGGGGGGUGGGAGAUUCAGCAAACUCAACUUGGAUUUGGGGCGUCAACAAGUAAAGGUGCCUCCCGCCCACUACCACUACCACUACCACUACCGCCCCCCAUUACCACCAACCUCCGAAACCCGUUCAUCAUACACCCUGGGCGGGGCCCAAAAACCCAAGGUGCCCCCCCUCCCCCCUCCCCCCCUUCCCCCCCUGGAAAACCCGUCUCCCCCUCACCGACCCCCCCCGUACCUCCGUGUACGAUAUUCUCGCUGUGCAUGUGCAGCAUCGCCCUCGCCACGUCAAGACAGUUAUCAAGCACCUCCGCAUACCCAAGCGGACAACUCGCCCGGCUGAUCAUAGCCGCAACGCCACCACCACCACCACCAGCUCCCGACAGGGACGACGGACCGGCAGCGCCACCGACGCCCGAGGCGAUGUCCGCCGCCGCCGCCGCCGCCUCGAUUGCUGGUGCUGCUGGUGCUGCCAGCUUGUCAGCUGUUGUUGCCUCGGGUGCCUCGCUCGCGGUAUUGCCCCUGGCUCUCAACGCCGCUACGGCCGCCUCGUUGAGGACGUCCCGGAGGGAGCCCCGGUCGCAGUACUCCAGCACCAGACGGACCUGCGUGUGCGGGUGCGGGUGUAUGUAUGUAUGUAAUUAAGUAUGUAUGUAUGUAUAUGUAAUGGGCAUCUAGAGGGAGGACACCGCAUACGUCAAAGCGCGGGAGCAGCGCUCCCACAACGCACAGGAUUAGCCAUCAACUUCCGGAAUGGAGUGUGUUUUGCAUGCGCCUAUGCAUGCGCAUGUGCGUGUGCACGUGUACAUGGACACGACGUGCGCCAUACAGAGCUGCACACGUGUGUCUUAGGCGGUGGUGGUGGUGGUGGUGGUAAGACGAACCACUGACGAAUGUUACGUGAUGGGGUGAUGAUUGGUGAUGGGGAGAAGAUCGGGGACCUAGAAGAACCCCAGGUGGCGCAAUGAGGGCGGCACGAGGAAGGGGAGGAGGAGGAGGGGGAGGGGGAGGGAGUUCCGGUGUCCCCCUUCCUUCUCCCAGCAGCCCCAGCACCGAGGACACUUUCUACCCCCUCUCCAUACCCCCCCCCACCUCCCAGCUGUGUAUGCUCUGUGAGGCUGCACCAGGCGCGGCUCCUCCCAGCGGACUGGUGCUGUCCACCUCGAGACUGCAUCUACGGGGGCGGGAGGGGUGGUUGUGUAAUCCGUGGGGGGUUUGGGGCUUUGAGACUGGUGAGGGUGGUGGUGAUGAGGGUGGUGGUGGUGGAGCCAACAGUUGCGGUCGUAGUAGAAUGGGGGACUUGCUUCUGGAGGCUGAUUUGUGCCGAGCGGGAGGAGGGAGGGGGAGGAAGAGGGGGAGGAGGGGGAGGAAGGCGGGGGAGGAAGGCGGGGGAGGAAGGCGGGGGAGAAGAGGAGGGGGAGGAAGGAGGAGGAGGGAAGUGUUCCAGGGGGCGGUGUGGGCCCCCUAGCUAGCACGAAACAUACCAAGCCAACCGCCAAACACCCAACCACCGCUCCAACUAACCCGGCGCCGAGCUUGCUCUCCAAUUGGUUGCCAUCUCCCUUGACUGGAAGAAUGGCGUACGUGUACGUCUGUAUGUAUACGAGAGGGGAAGGGGGAGAGGAAAGAGCUGGGUGGGGAAUCUGGAGGUUGGGUAGGUGAUGGUGUCGAUCUGAGGUGAGGAGUUCGAAUGGCGGGGCUGGGGGACCUUGUGUCGUGAAGGAAGGGGCGACACACACACACAUACACACACACAUACACACACACCGGUGCAUUACCUGCACGAUAUUGGGAUGUGACAGUGACGAGCUGAUGGCCGUCUCCAUGACCGCCAUCUUCUCCCGCUUCUCCUUGCCGCUCAUGUUGGUGGGCAGCACCAUGGUCUUGAUGGCCACGGUGGUGCCCCGCCAAGUGCCUUUGGAGGGUAUGUAUGUAUGUAUGUAUGUAUGUAUGUAUGUAUGUAUGUAUGUAUGUAUGUAUGUAUGUAUGUAUGUAUGUAUGUAUGUAUGUAUGUAUGUGCGGUGGUGUACAUGUGUAGAUGUGUAUGUGGGGGGAGAGGAGAGGGGGGAAAAGGCAGGAUGACAAGAGGUCAUGUAGAUGGGAAGGACAUCACAUCAUGGUGAUGAUGAUGUUCACCAUGCAAGAUAAGCAAGCAGGGGGUCCACUGACGGCACGUCCAACGUCCNNNNNNNNNNNNNNNNNNNNNNNNNNNNNNNNNNNNNNNNNNNNNNNNNNNNNNNNNNNNNNNNNNNNNNNNNNNNNNNNNNNNNNNNNNNNNNNNNNNNNNNNNNNNNNNNNNNNNNNNNNNNNNNNNNNNNCACCCACACGUACACCCACACGUACACCCACACGUACACCCACACGUACACCCACACGUACACCCACACGUACACACACACGUACACCCACACGUACACACACACGUACACACACACGUACACACACCUCUGUAGACCUUGCCGAAUGUCCCCUCCCCCAAGAGCUCCGUGAGGGUGAUCUGCUCGCUGCGGUGGGUACCCGCCAGCGCGUUGUGUGCGGUGAUGGCGCGCUUCAUGUCCUCAAUGCGGGCUGGGGGGAAAUGGGGGAGGCGGGCGGGCGGGGAAGGGGAUGGGGGAGGAGGGCGCGAAUUACACAUGCAAGAAUAUCAUCAGUGUAUCAAAGCUGUCGUAGGAGUCCAAGGAAGGUGCGAUGUGGUGGGGUGUGGUGGGGGAAGGGGUGGGGUGGGGUGGGCGAGGGGGGAAAGACGAACCACACACGAUUGAAGCUGCUACCCGGGCAAGAGUGUAUGGGGGAGGGGGGAAAGACAUAUCGUAUUUGGCAGAAGCUAAUGGUCGACUGGUAAACAAAGAGACGGAGACGAGUCAUAUAUGCGUAAAUGGGGCGUGGGGAGGUAGGAUGGUGGUGUGUGUGUGUGGAGGAGGUUGAGCUGGGGCUGAGCGGCCCCUUCCCUCCCCUUCCCCCGUUCGGACAUUUGUGUCUUUGUAUUGUGGUUACAGUAUUUCCGCCGCCGACGCGGCGAGUGCCCUCACGAGCCGUGAGGCUCCAGAGCACGCUGUUGACGCUCAUCGAAAACCUCAGUAAGGAAAGUAGCGAUUUUCCUCGGAUUGGUAUUAAGAAAUACCUUGCGCAUAUCAGUAUCUUCAACGUUAAUCAGAAACCUAUUACGCAACUCAGUAUACGCCUCACACUCCAUAAGCACAUGAUAUUCAUCCUCAACCUUACCCGACGUACAGACCUGACACGUACGGCACUCUCUCGGCCUAUGGUGCCCUUUGUUGACCUCCAAAGGCCAACAACAAAGACGGAAUUUGGCAACCAUACGCAACUGGUUGACCGGCAAAUAAACACGCAAAUAGCCUGUGGGAUCAGAGCCCUCUCUUGCAGGUGAAGGGGAGCCCAUCCAGUUAUGAUACCUGCAAAGCGAAACCCCUUUACCUUGGAACACACGCGGAUCACCCCCUUGGCUGAACUGAUCCCAGUCACUUAAAAGGAACGCAGAAAACCUCUCUCUUGCUCUCUCUCGCCCCCUCGCCUAUGCACAUGAAUCCCCUCCCCUCCUCUCUCCCACCACACGCAUACACACCUUCCGUCGGCAUGCUGGCUGACAUCAUAGAUGUGCUGAAGGUGGUCGAGUUGGCGACUGCGGUGGUUGGCCCCGCGUUGUUGCCCGUGGAGGAGCCCGCAGCGGGGGUGGAACCGCUCUCCUUGCUACUGCCGUGUUGGCCCUGCUGCUGCAGCUGACUACCGCCGCCGCCGCCGCCGCCGCCAACACCGCCAGCCAAAUGAUAGUUGACCGCCAGAGGAUCACCGCCGCCGCCGCUGUACGACAAGUCUCUGCUGUUGAGCUUGCCACUCGGGCCGCUGCGUGCGGCGGCCUUGUACUUCUCCUCAGCGGCGGCGGCAGCAGCGGCAGCGGCAGCGCUGGAACGGCGGCGGAGCCAAACGACGAGUACGACAGUGGCUGCGGGGGCAUCAUUAUGGCCAGUGUUUUGUCACGGUUUCAUUCGUGGAUAUGAACGGGUGGAUAAAGCACACGAAGAGACUGAGGAUAAACGGGGGAAGAGGGACCUGGUUGCGGGGGGAGGGAAAGCACACACGGGAAGUGGCGCCAGAGAUGGGGAGACCUCAGCAGCUGCGGGGACAACCUUCCCCUUUCCCCCAUCUCUCUUCCUUUCCCUUCCAGUCCUUUUUCUCUCCCCUUUCCCUCCCCCCACUCUGUCCUCUCCCCCCCCCCCCUUCUGCACCACGCACACCUGCAAUCACCAGCGUCCCACACACCGCCACAGGUGCCGCAAUCGCCGCCACCGGCGUCUUCUUGUCCUCCUCCUUCGACGCUGCUACAGCUCCUUCCGCUCCGAAACCAUCCGGCCGCCAUGUCAGCGCUACAUCCGUAUAUCCCCAGAAGCCGGCGCCCUGUAUGGAGCGGUUCUGGGACACCGCCACCCACUCCGUCUUGUUGAAACGGUACUGGAAGAUAAAGGCAUCAAAGUAGGAAAUGUUGAGGUACGCGCCGCGCGGCGGUAUGAAGCCCGAGCAAUAGGGCCCGCAGGUGUACCAAUAGUUCCAAAAGGGGUCGAUGGCGUUCGUGAAGGGGGAGGAAGUGUUGCCGCGAAUCUCCACGCCCUGGGGUCGGCCACCCGGGGGGGGAAGGGUGGGGUGGGCGGGGAAAGGGACGAAUAGGGGUAAGAUGAACCAGGAGGGACGCGUGAAACGGGGUGGGAUUCAGUCUUCGAUGGUUCUAUAUAUGGUUCUAAUCACGCAAAACUCAAGUAAGGAAACGACCUCCGGCAUCCCAGGCACCUACGUGCCGUGAAGACGUCGGAAGCGAUGGCGGCAGGGCGAGGGGAGGGGGGCAUUGGGGCAUUGCAUGGAAGGGGGGUUGGAGGAACGUGGAGGGGAGAACACGAACACGGGCAGCGCGGUGGGCGGUGGCGGAGUGGAGUUGGGGAACCCACCCAAACUUAUUCCCGCCACCUCACCCACAUCGAACUGAAUGACACCGUCCGCCUCCACCGACAACGCCCCGAUCAGCAUGUACAUGUAGGAGCGGCGCGGGGAGGGCCGCGGGUGGGUGAGCAGCAGGCUGCCGCGGAAGGACAACGUGCCAAACACAAACACGACCUGACGAGGCGGAGGGAGGGGGGGAAGCGCGGGAAAGGGGGAGAGGAGGGGAAAGGGGCUAGGGGAGAUUUCGUGCAAUACCCCAAGGGAGGGAGGGAAAAGAAACGCAAUAAGCAGAGAUGGAGGGAGGGAAAGGGGUGUGUAUGUGUAUGUGUGUUUGGGGGGGCGGUAAGACGAACCACGAGCGAGUGAAGCUGCUGCCAAGGAAAGAGAAGCAGAACUGUGGGGGGGAAAAGGGGGAGACUUAACCCGUAUAUUGGAGGCAAGCAAGUAAGCGUGUAUAGACAGCCGAGACCCAAAACACGGUGUGUAAAGGAGCCAGGGGUGCCGAGGGAGGAGGCGGAAGGAGGGUGGCCGGGAGGCAGCCAGGCCAGGGCAGGCCAGGCAGCCUUUCUUCUCCCUCUCUCUCCCUCCCACAUAGUGAGCUGGUCGGCCUUCCAUCAUCUUUCAUUCACCCCCCGCGUACUACUCCACCCCCCUUGCCUCUUGAUUUUUUCCUCCCACCUCGCCAGGCGGGUGGUUGCCGCCGCCGUCGCCAACCCCGCCGCCGGACGCUCCCCAUCCCACUCCCCCUUGGUGAGCUCUGGUGGCCAUCAUCCCGCCCCCGGAGUUUCUCUCCCCACUCUUCAAGUUGGAUUCGACGUUAUUAUAAUACAAGAUCUCCACUAAGUAGAGCAACAAAGUUUAAAACAACUUCACGCUUCGAUGUGUAAUAACGCCAAUAUUUACGACCGUCUUUGGUCAUCUGCGUUAUUGUCCCACUGUCGCCUCGUCGGUCCCGUCUGUCGCCUCCACAGUCCCCUUCCGCGGCGUGGCGUUGAAACCCUACAUUUGACACCCCCCCAAAACACACAGACACACCCAUUAUCCCCCCCCCCACAGUCGCCAACACCCCCAACAGUUCUCUGGCCUCUCGCUCCGACCUUUCAAGUGUUGUUUUAUACCUCCANGGAGUGUUUUUCUUCCAGGGUAUCCGGUUAGGAUAGCCGCGACCGUGGCCCCGUGUCAAGAGCCCGGUCAGGCGCUGUAACAAUACACACACACACUUUCACGCGCACAGCACAAUGACCAAGGUCGUUCUCUUCAGCUCUCAGGCGUCGACAUAAGCGCCUUUCUCUACCCCCUUCCCCCAAACACGCACACCCACCCACAUACACGCACACACCCACCCACAUACACGCACACACCCACAUACACGCACAAUGCGCACCUGGCCCAGGUUGCCAAAAUCAAUGGUGUAUCGCUUCCCGGGUACAGGGUGACAUGCAUACACCGUCUUGGUGCCGUUCACAAAGAUCUGCCCCUGAGCCGGACCCGACGCCUCCGGCGGCCAUUCCGACGCUACCAGCUGGAUGUCCCCCACCACCCGAAUCGCCGGAAUCAUGUCGUCCUUCAGCAAGUCGCGGAAGCUGCGGCCGUUGUCCGCAUUCACGCCGAUACCGGGCGGACAGGCGCUCUCGGGAGGCGAGGCGACUAUCACGUCACGCAGGCGCCAAAAGCUGGCGGCGGCGGCGCCGUCACGAUCGAUGCCGGGCGAUGGAUCCCAGACUGUAUCCCCCGAUAGGAACCACGAGGAGAUGAACGCGCGGCUGGUGUUUCCGACGGUGGUGGUGGCAUUGUAGACCGGCUUCGCGGUUGCGGGAAGGCUGGCUGAGAGAGCCUCGAAAUGGGCCCCCAGGUUGCUGCUAUCAAUCGUGACGAUGGUGGAUGAUUCGAUCGUGCAGCCGCCUCCCACACCCACGUACACUAGGCCGAUGAGGGGGGCAAGGAAGCGGGGCCAGAAGAGCUGGUUGACCACGGCAACAUCAGUCAGGGUGAGGCCGCGUAACGUCAAGGCGCCGCCGUUGCUGAUCUGCAUGCCGAACCGCGUCCAGUUGUAGUUGGUGUUCAGGGCGGUUCCGGAGCAGCCGUACACUUCCAAGGAGCGGUUGCCGGUUAGGUUGACGGGGUUGCUAUAAUUGAAGUCCUUCGGAUCCAAUACAAAGUCCUGUCGCCGCACAACGAUUGGUUAAUCGGUUGGUUGGUUCUUCGGCAAUAACGGUACAGAAUAACAAAAUAGGGUAGGCUUCGGAGCGCAGAGCGCCGAGGUGUGGGUAAAGUUUUAUAUUAAUGUGAUGUCAUUUGGCAGGGGCCAAAAACCCAAACUGCUUCACUGAUUCCCGUGUUACGCAUAGUGAGGCAUCAGCACCGCAGCGAGGCUCGCCCUGGGAGUUAGUUAUUCGUGCCCCUCUCCCGCCGCCCCUAACAGUAAGCCUCAUCCGGCCGCAUCCCCCCGUUUUCAACCUCCGCCCGGGAGAUUCCACCGGCACCCCUCCCUAGGACUCCUUACCGACUUCCCUAAAGAGUCACGGGGGGGCAUCAGGUCUUACGUUGAUGGUGGCAUCAAUGGUGAUCCACAUCGCCGUACAAAGGACCCCUCAACACCUGCCCCCGCAUCCAUAUCCACAACCCCCUCCCCUCCUCCGACACACAACCCCCUCCCGUCUGAGUCCAUUUAUAAACAUGCACAGACACAUAUACCGACAUACGGGGCCAGCACGGGGGCCUCACGGUCUUUGGAGCUUCUACUGGGCCGCAAAAUGACGUUCACUUCCCACCCCAACACACCGCAGCACCUUCCCUUCGAAAUCACGUGCUAACACUCCAACCCAAGCAUAGCGUGACACAUAUACUUGCAUACACAUACGUGCACAUGCACAUUCACAUACAUUCACAUUCACAUACAUAGACAUACACAUACGUGCACAUGCACAUUCACGCACACACCAUCUCCGCCCCCACCUUACCCGAUACACAAAGACCGAGGAGACGUCAUUGCGGCCCAUGGCCGCCCGGAGGGAUGGCGAGUCCGUCACCGGCACUCCGCCCGCAUAGCAGUCCACCGCCGAGGGCCUUGCGUCGCUAGGCAGCAGCAACACAUUGCUAAAGCUGACGGCAGCUUCUGGGGAGCUGUACGACACCACUCGCUGGAGACCCUGCGAACUCACGUGGUACCGGUCGGUUGGGUUCCGGAGCAAGAGGGGAAUUUAGGGAUGCAGUUCGUGUCGUGCGGAUUGCCGUUUGAAAGGUUGGGUGAGGAAACCCAGAUCGGGAUGAAAACAGAGGUAAGCCAACUUGAAGCCUAGGGUUUGGGGUUCAGGAAAAGUGAUGAUGUGCAGAGGAGGACAGGGCAGUGUGACGCAACGGGGCCGUGGGAUUGGGGAUGUUCUGGCGGUCAGGUAGGGAAAGAGCGGGACGAAGGGCCCCGCACUCAGGGCCGGUGUAAGGCCCUGCCAGCUGCGAUGGCAACAGGACUUCAGUAAGGACUGAAGUUCGAUUCGGAACUAAGGAGCCCGCAUGCAGUCUUGUGAAGAAAUCACACAUCUUCGUAGGAUCGACAGGCGGUAAUCACGUUAAUCGGGCGCUAGCUUACCGAUCCAAGUCCGCCGCUUAGCUGGGGUUCAAGAGUCUCCAAAAAGCCAUUUACUGACCAAAAGCGAGAGAUAUUGGCUAGGGUGCGAAAAGGGGCUAUUACAGUUACGUUUUCAAAAGCGAGGUUCAAGCUGCUGCCGUUGAAGGCUGGAAAAGGACCAGAGCUGAUAGGAAACACUGGCGCGCUGCUGGAUUCCAGUACACCUUUUUUGUAAAAAACCGUGACAUCCCGAAGCAUAAGUGAAGCAUUUUCACCCAGCCCCAUAAUCAUGGUAUUAGGAGAAUGUAAAAUAAGCGAUCCAGGCCCAGUGAUAGUAACUCUGCCUUUCAGAGUGGCCGACUGGUCGCCUCGCCAGACCCAAGGCGAACCCCUGAGAGAAACGGUCGCCUGGUUAGACUGCAGCUGCUGCCAUAGGUUGGCCUCGGAUAUCGUCUGGGCAGGGGCAACCCCGAUGCAUCGGAGCACAAUUAUUGAUAGCAUACACGCCGUGAGCCGACUAAACCUGCAACCCAGCAAACUCGACCGGUCUCCAUUGCUCAUGGUAACCUGCUUCCGCGCGUUCUUAUUCUAGUGCAUGUUCAUUACGGUUAUGGCACCCGGCUAUCACAUAACUUCACAUCAUGGGGCAAGUUCAGACCCUGCUGAGUUAUAAUACUGGCCACUGGUUGAGUAGGAUAAGGUAAACAAACACUGUUAGGUCAGGGCAUGGCGACGGUUGACUUGCUAUGGUCCCUAGCCACAUUGUACCGCACCGGACAUGGAGAAUGCAUGUGCGACCUAUACCCACAAGGUUGUGCUUAGUGAUUGUAAACUUCUGGUGCAGAGGAAAGCAUGCAUAAGCCGUAAGUGUUUUAGGUCCUGCAAAAGCCUAGAGAGGACGUCGAGUCUCGUAACCUGGUCAGCAUUUGCCUGACAGGACCUGGCAAGUACAGACUGAAUACUGUAUUGGGAGGUGUACAUUGCACUUCGGCAGGCAGAGAGAAGUGGCCACGUUCUUACAAAAGAGGGACCUCUGGCAAAGUUCAGAAAUGCAUGUCCUGCCAUGAAUCUCUUUGCUUCCAUACGAACCUAGUCCAGGCAACUGAUCGUGCGUCCAUUACGUCGGGCGGUACUCCGUAGUCCAUACCAGAACAAGGCCAGUGAGUUUGCCACCUACCUGGGUAAGCAACAAACCUGCCCAUGUUUGAAACUCAUAUGGUCGGUUGGGCGAAUAUAAAGCAAUCUUUUCGUUACGUAACGUUUAUGUUACUCAGCUUACUACUCGGCUUAUGAGAGUCCUUACCGUACGUGAAUCUGACCCUGCUCAGCUUGCACGGCAAGAACAAUUGCACCAUUUUUUUGUCAUUAAGCCGAGUAAUAAAAGUCUGUUCAAACCAUUUGGCCUGUCGCGCAAGACCACAACAUGCCUGGUUGCGCGUAAGCUUACAGCACGUGGAGUUACAUCGCUUCAGCAGUGGCGAAAUUAUUCGCGCAGGGUGACGUACGGACGCAAACACCGGGACCACGACCUACCUUUUAACCUAUCCCGCCCAGCGGGCUACACCCCAGGAGGGUGGGAGGAUGACCAGCAGCACCAAGCGAAGCAGCACCGCAAUCACAACCCCCCAGUGCGGACUUGUGUAAAAACGUGCACAACUUAUGAAACAAACCCGACAAAACAGACCACACGUGCCAAAUGUUGCCACAGCCCCCCUGCUUCCAAUCAAUCGUCUAAAUGUUUCCUCAACCCUGUUUCCUUCUGUCUAUCCUUUGUGCAAAUUAGGAACCUUUCCUCAUCACUUGUAAUAGAAGCACUCGCAACCGCUCACGACCAACGCUGCAGCUGCAGCGCUUCAGAAGGAGCAGCCUCACCGCGUCUCACCACAUUACUCCCCGAGCAUAUCACCGCACGUAGCACAACCCCAAGAAAGCCCAGCAGGGCUCCCACUUCAAGCCCUCCCUUCCCUCCUUUCUUCUUGCUUAUUUCUGGCGUAUCAGUCUAUCCUUGGCAUCAACUUCACUCGUUCGUGGUUCGUCUUCCCUCCCCUCCCGCCUAACCCAACCCAACUGAAAUCCAAAUCCAAUCCAACCGGAUAGGCAAGGGGAUCCUGCUGGAUUAGAGAAGUUCCGUACAUUUCCACCAGGUAGGAAGCCAUCAGCCUGCAGCAACGGCGAAACGUGGCCGCGAAAGGGGGGAGAGUCAUGUAGUGCAUGAAGCAAGGUGUCUGGGGAUGUGGAGCCCCGUGGAGGAAAAUGUGCAUUACAGACAUUACUCUGCAUGCAUGCAUGUUCGGAAAUCAACGCCGGAUGGGGACGCCGCCGGGCAAAGGGCCCGAAAGGACGCUGCCGAAGACGCCCGAGAGCUGGAAGGGCCAGAAGGCUGGGAGCUUUUACACACGCACACACACACCCCUUUUCGACACAGGUAUUAUGCACACAGAGUGCAUCCACAACGUGACUUACCAACCAUUACAAAUCUCAUUCAUUUACCCAGCAGGACCCACCCACCCGCCUCUGCGCCCACAUAGACCCACAUCGGUUCUCAUGAAGAGGUCCUCUGCACCCACUGCCAAUCGGACACCCGCCAUCGCCACCACCUUGGGCACCCACACGCCCAUACACACACAAGGCGCACAUGGCCGGGCGCGGGCAAAAGAACUGUGCAGCCGCUGCCGCCGCCACCGUACGACACAACAGAACAGCCCAAGGGUCUUCUCCCCGAUUGGCAUUUAAGCAGCCGUCGUCCUCCGCUGGGAAUCGACCAUCCACGACUGCUGCUACUGCUGCUGCUACAACUGCUGCCACAACUGCUGCGGGGGCUGCUACUGCUGCAGGCCGUUAGCUCUGCGUCCCUCUCCGCUCAGCGCCUCCCCGCCACGUGCGCCUUCUCGUACCGACUGCUCAGCACCCCGAUGCGGGGCGGCGGACCGAUACGGAGGUACGGCACCACUGCCUCAACCAACUCAGCUUGGCGUCACCUCCGCCGCGAACCUCCGUACGCAGCACAACCACAGCACAAGCAGCUUCUGUUGGCAAAGCCGGUCUAUGUACGACUAUCUUCCCAUCUGCACCAGGCCUCGCGAAAGCUACCUAUUCGGUUGGCUGUGGUAGCGCCCUUUCCCCCUUCCCACCUGCACCAGAGCCACCAGCAGCAGCAGCAGCAGCAGCAGCAGCGCUCCUGGUUUAUGCGGAAAUGGAGACUGCCGACUCCAGGGAAGGCGGUUUAUUGAAUCCACUGACAGAGCGACCGAGUCCCCCUGACCUGGCUGACAAGUUGGCGGGAGCGCUCGUGCGGAUGACCGGUCUCCACACGCCCUGACGUGUUCAAGGACAGUCGCUGCCGCAGCUGAGUCGCCGCUUGUCCAUCAUCCACGAGAACGGCGUCUGCGCCUGCGGCAGUGAGGGCUGCAGCCCUCGCCUGCUCAACCCACCCUACACCACGACAAUCUGACCUCUGCUCUAGGGCUCUGGCAUCUUCGUCAGGACCCAGCUUCCUCUGCUGCGCUCAUGGUACUCCAGCUGCAUCCUCCACUGCCGCCUCUGCUGCUACUGCGCAGCUGUUGCGGAGCUGCUGCGGCAACUAGGCGGCACAAUGGCUCCUGGUGCUCUCCGAUGCAUGGGAAGCUCAGAAAGGAGGAGACGCCGCACGCUGCACAUCGCCGUCACGUCUCCUUGCAUUCCCACCCCCCGCCAGCCUGCACGGACUUGACGACACGGGCUCUCAGCACCCGCCUGGGUUUGCUGAGCGGCCGUCAUACCAUCGUUACCAACCACAACGAGGGGGGUUGAGAAGUAGAGCGCGGAGCAGCACAUACAGACCGCAACGAUGAUGAUGUCGCCUAUGUCGGGCCUAUCGCUCUCAGUGGUCCCGUCUGACUGGCCGUCUGCCUGGGGGUCCGCCGCUGCGUGCCUGGCAUAUCGCGUUACUGUUCUGGAAAUGGGUGUACCAAGGCCAGGCCAGCCCAGCCCAGCUCGGCUGUCCUCCGAGCUCCUCAGCGCUGCCGCCUGAUUUGAACCCCUGUGCGCGCGCACGUGUGUGUGUGUGGGUGUGGGGAACGUGUGUGUGCGUGCGCACGCACGUGUGUGUUGGUAGGGUGUGGGGAAAGAGGGGGAAGAGGAAUGAGGAACAUGUGCCAGAAGCAACCAUGCAGAGUUUCAUUGCGGUGGAGCAGCAGUAGCAGUAGCAUCAGGACUAUCAGUGGUGGCACUAGCAACACCAGGAGGAGUGGCACAUACACUACUGUAAGAAUUAGGGGGGAAAUCCGUAAACUUGAGUCAUGUAGUCCGUUGCGUGUGUGUCCUGGUUCCCAUUAUGAGAGGCCAUGCGGAAUUAUGAGAGGCCAUGCGGGACUAAUCCAAAUCCCAGCAUCAGAGGUAGAGGAAACCCAGGACCCUGACUGGCCCUGAGGGCUCAUAACCUCACUUCGCCGUCCCGACUGAUCCACAAAAUCCUAAACGCUGAGGCUGGCCACCAUCAUCCGCAGCUUAUUUAUCCUCUGGCCCUAAGCAGUCACAAGUCCUAAGGACCCACCCACGCUCUCCACCACGCUGGGCACUCCUGGGAUGGCUAGCUUCCGAAUGGUGAAGUCCACUUGCCGUACUCUAGGGUGUCGCUGCAGUACGGCACUCACUGCGCGGUGCGCCACUGCCUCCAGCAGUUUGCAGGGCGCCCCUUCAACCACUGAUUUGACGUCCCUGGAGGGGCCAGCCCAGCCGGCGGGUCAGGCCCUUGUGAGAUAUUCAGUAGACCCGAAUGAAGCGCAUAGGGAUAGGAAUUCUCGGGGGCUAGCGAGGGCGGCUUUUGCAGGUCAACAUCGCAGCAAACUGUGGAUGCACAAUAUCACGUCGAGCAACCCACCCGUAAACGGCUGCAUAGUUCACGGUGUCCUCCAGGUCAUCGCUGAACCCAGCUCGGGAGGUGUUGACUUGGAGUUUAAGAUCGACCACAAAGCUCUGACCGAGUCGAGUUUCCUGAGCACAAGCGCAAUCAGUCAAGAGGCGAGUUCGUUAAAGGUCAACUAAAGUCACGUCAGGUCAACAGAAAUUGUGGGCUUGAGGGCAAUGUAGCCACAGCCUGUGCUCUUUCGUGAUAACGUUAGGAGUGCGUUGGCAGCGUUAUGGCAUAAUGCACUCACGAUGCCAAAAGUCGGCUGCGGAGUCGUAGAAUGGGGUUUGAAAAGCGCGUGUUCGGAAAAUAGAUAGAGGGUUUGGAAAGUGCAACUGCAUUUACCUCGGGGAGCACGCCGUGAUGGCCGUGAAAGCGCAUGCCGGUGAUAUGAAUCCAGUCGCUGUCGCCGAUCUGGACAGGAAUGCUAUGAUGGCUAUAAUUACCUCCUGGAAAGGAUGUGCAAAACGACGAGCAGGUAAAGGACGGACGCCAGCACCUACACGCUGCGGCGUCCUGGAGGAUACUCAUUUGGAGACUCGGAAUGACUCUCAGUCUUGAAAUCCUAGGGAUCAUGGUGGGGCGCAACCGAAGGACGACGCGCGUGAAUGGUAACUAAAAGUGUUCUAUAUAAGGGCGAGACUUAGUACUUCACGGGAAAGUAAAGGAAGCAUACAGUCCCCUUACCAUUACCCAAUUGAGGUUUCGUAUCGAUAUCUGGUUCUUUAGGAAAGGAAUUCGGGAGGGAGGACGAGAAAACAAAGGGCCCGCGUACGGCUGUUAAUGUGAGUCUAUUCCUUCGGUCCGAACAUGUGAUUUCUUCCCUUUCGCUGCGCCUUCCAGCCACCGCCUCCUCCCCAAUUUUUUCUUAGUAGUCGACACAAUGUCUGAUCACGAGGUUGAGACUUUUGAGAGCGCCGACGCCGGCGCCUCUCUGACCUACCCUCAGCAGGCCGGCACUGUCCGUAAGAACGGCUACAUUGUCAUCUCGGGCCGUCCUUGCAAG
rnacentral:lncRNA from 1 species